AAAGUGGAAGUCAGAUGGAUCUUUUUCACAAGACAAAAAACAAUAUUCUCUUGAGAACAACUAUAGGGGAUGUGGUUACUUAUUCAUAAGUCGUUCUUAUUAGCACGAGAUAUUACAAGCGACAUAGAUUUUCACACAAAUGACAUACUCGUACAUUCCUUACUUGAGAGGGAUUCAAGACAUGGCAUAUCAUGGCAUGGCAGGCAUAUAUAAUAAUUCUGCCAGCUAACAAAGGUGUCCCUGAUUUAUUUCAACAACACACAAUAAUAGUAGUAGCACGUAGGCCUCACGGCCUACUCCUUAUAGCAGAAGUAACUCGAUGGAUGAUGAUGAAUCAUGGAAGAACAUAGAUUCCAAUGGCAUCAAUUAGAUCCCCAACACGUCCAAAGAAACCGGUGAUCUGGCCGCCAUGAGUCACUGGGACAUGAAAGGAACCCCCGGAACCAGCAAUACCACAUUCUAUAGUCUGUCCAUUGUUUGUAACAAAUUUGAGAGACGUCACUAUUGACGACACACUACCCCAUCUACCAUAGGUUCCUGAAAUUUCAGUCACAUAUUCCAUGUCUUCAAGGUCCAACUGUGUAAAACAACAAUCAAGCAUUUUUAUAAUUUAUAGUUAGGACUUCAUAUGGCGAUAAGGUUUACUUACAUAUAUAAAUUGUAUAUAUUAGGUAUUUUAUAAGGUUAAGCUGAUUCACACACCGUGUGCUUGUUCCCACUAGGAGCUCCCCAUGCACCCUCUACAUGCUGAUCCCCGGCAUGAUCCUCAUAUGUAAACUUGAUGGAGUGGAUUGCGUCCACACCAGAAAUUUCCACCCGGGCUAGUCGGUGGGGAGCGUGUCUGACGUCACGAGGCUGGCCUCCGACUCCACCCCAUAGACCAAUCUUCACAGGCUUGCUCUGCAAGCAUCAUCACACAGAUGUAAAAUCACACAAAGUAUGGAAUGUAUACAUACAUGCAUGUAAUGGAAAAUUGGAAGUAAGAAUAAUGUGCAUGAGUGUGUGUCAGUGUGUACCAUGAUGAAGCUAGUUCAACACAAAUGAAAGUUUAAGUGGUGGUAGUAGUGCAAAUGUAUAUAUGGAGUAUGAGGGACUUAUGGACACCAUGCAGAGAGGAGCACCCUAUAUAUAGUCAAGCGGAUGAACAAUCCACUACCUAGCAUGGUUGACAAUUGCAUGCUAGCUAGGUUUUAGUAAGUACUAAAACAAGGCGAAGUGUGAAUGCCAAAGACGAGAUAUAGCAUGCCAAAUUCCUUAAGAAUGAGUUAGUUAGCCAGCACACCAGUUGUCAAUUGGAGUUGUUACAUGUGCACAUCUAGUGAGCUCACAUUGUUGACAUCACAAAAUGCUUCAAUCUAUAUCAUGCAUCUAUAAAAAAGGGUUGAUAUUAAUUUUGUAGGACAGCAAUUCAAUAAUGAAGUGUGCACGCGUGGACAUUCCAGACUUUACGGGUUGCGCAUGGCCAUCACACUCGGCGUCCGUCGCCUGAUGGUCUAUGGCGACUUAGAUCUAGUGGUUAAUCAAGUAAUGAAGGAGUGGGACGUAAGGAACCCCACCAUGACUGCAUACUGCAACGCAAUAAGAAAGCUCGAAAAGAAGUUCGAAGGUCUGGAACUUCACCAUGUUCCCCGACUGAAAAACCAAGCAGCAGAUGAAUUGGCAAAACUUGGAUCCACACGGACACCUGUCCUGAGUGAUGUCUGCCUCGAGCACUUACACCUCCCCUCGGUAAAAGAAGAUCUUUUUACAGAAGAACCUAUGCAACCGAAGAGCUCAACAGAUCAGACUAAAGUCGAGGUUCCCGCUGUGGUCGACCUGGUCAUGGAGAUUCUAGCUAUCAUUCCCGAAUGGACUGUGCCAUUCAUUGCGUAAAUCCUGAGGCAAGAGUUACCGGAAGACGAGGUCCAAGCUAGGCAGAUCGUUCGCAGGUCGAAGUCCUUCACCGUCAUUGAUGACCAGUUAUACAGAGAAAGUGUUUCAGGCGUCCUUCAGCGGUGUAUCUCUCCUGAGGAGGGUCGGUUAGUUUUGGAAGAAAUUCACUCGGGAACUUGCAGCCAUCAUGCCUCCUCAAGGGCAAUCAUCGCCAAAGCAUUCAAAGCUGGUUUCUUCUGGUUGCAGGCGAAUGAAAUGGCAAAAGAUAUAGUCGACCAUUGCGAAGGUUGUCAGUUCUAUUCAAACAAGUCCCACAAGCCAACGUCCGCGCUGAAGACAAUUCCCCUUUCUUGGCCAUUCGCCGUGUGGGGAUUAGAUACAGUCGGACCAUUCAGAACAGGCCAAGGAGGAUUCACCCAUCUGCUGGUAGCAGUCGACAAAUUUACCAAGUGGAUUGAAGCCAAGCCAAUCAAGAAGCUUGAUGCCCUUACGGCCAUCAAGUUCACCAGAGACAUCAUCGCCAGAUACGGGGUUCCACACAGCAUAAUCACCUACAAUGGCACAAACUUUGACUCGGACAGGUUCAAAGGUUUUUGCGCAAGCCAAGGUAUCUGAGUGGAUUUUGCAUCCGUUGCGCACCCCCAAACAAACGGACAAGCGGAGCGGGCGAAUGGACUCAUUCUCCAAGGGUUGAAGUCUCGACUCCUGUGGGAAGUUGGACAUGCCGCCAGCGCAUGGGUCACCGAGCUGCCUUCGAUGCUGUGGGGCCUCCGAACAACUCCAAAUAGAUCGACAUGACGAUCCCCGUUUUCCUCGUUUAUGGAGCAGAGGCAGUCCUUCCGAGUGACUUGCUUCACAACUCUCCACGAGUCGAACUCUUCUCCGAAGCCGAAGCAGAGCAAGCUAGGCAAGACGGAGUGGACCUUUUAGAAGAGGAGCGCGAGAUCGCAUUGAUCCGUUCAACAAUUUAUCAACAAGAUCUGCGGCGAUUUCAUGCGCGGCACGUCAGGAGCCGCACGUUCCAAGCAGGCGACCUGGUGCUCCGAGUGGAUCAACAGAGACCACACAAGUUGGCUUCCGCCUGGGAAGGACCGUUCAUCAUUUCUAAGGUGCUGAACAACGGAGCGUAUCGACUCUACAACCUCGACAGGGAGGCGGAUGAGCCGCGAGCAUGGAAUGGAGAUAUACUGAAGCGCUUCUACACAUAACCACCGAAAGAGACAAUGUAAAGAACAAAUGUCGUCGAAGUAAUACAAAGCGGAUUAAUUUCUUGCCGAUUCAAAACUCUUCUGCGUUUGCAGACUCCGGUCUAAAAAACUAACUCCGAGUGUGCACCAAAAGUCACACUCGGGGACUUAGCUGCGACCCAGAGUCGCCUAAGUAAACAAAUCGCUCCGAGUGUGCACCAAAACUCACACUCAGGGACUUAGCUGCGACCCAGAGUCGCCUAAGUAAAAAACUUCCUCCGAGUGUGCUCCAAAAGUCACACUCGGAGACUUAGCUGCGACCUAGAGUCGCCUAAGUAAACAACUCGCUCCGAGUGUACACCAAAAGUCACACUCAGGGACUUAGCUGCGACCCAGAGUCGCCUAAGUAAACAACUCGCUCCGAGUGUACACCAAAAGUCACACUCAGGGACUUAGCUGCGACCCAGAGUCGCCUAAGUAAACAACUUCCUCCGAGUGUGCUCCAAAAGUCACACUCGGGGACUUAGCUGCGACUCAGAGUCGCCUAAGUAAACAACUCGCUCCGAGUGUACACCAAAAGUCACACUCAGGGACUUAGCUGCGACCCAGAGUCGCCUAAGUAAACAACUUCCUCCGAGUGUGCUCCAAAAGUCACACUCGGGGACUUAGCUGCGACCCAGAGUCCCCUAAGUAAACAACUCACUCCGAGUGUGCACCAAAAGUCACACUCGGGAACUUAGCUGCGACUCAGAGUCGCCUAAGUAAACAACUUGCUCCGAGUGUGCAUCAGAAGUCACACUCGGGGAUUUAGCUGCGACUCUAAGUCGCCUAAGCAAAAAAGUAACUCCGAGUGUGCACCAAAAGUCACACUCGGAGACUUAGCUGCGAACCAGAGUCGCCUAAGUAAAGAGCUUCCUCCGAGUGGGCACUUGAGUUACACUCGGAGGCUUAGCUGAGUCGCCUAAACAAAAACCAUGAGCCAAAAUCGUGUCAAAAAAACUCAGCGAAAGAAGAGCAAAAUAUCCGGUCCGAAUUCAAAUUGAGUUCUACGAUCAGUCGGCUCGGUGUGAAUCAAGUUUAUCCACACCGAGCCACGAAUGUACCGGCUAACAGCAGUGGCCAAAGUUUAAUACAAACUCCACUCGGCAUACCGAGGUAAAUGCACGUUCAGCAUAAAGUCAAUCAAGCAUCGCCGGGGCUGGCAGGCUCCACGAAGGUGUCGAGGUCGAUUCCAUCCGCCAUCCGAGUGGCCAUGUCGAGGAAGGUCUCCAUGAAGUCUUCAAAUCAAAGCUUCUUGGUGUUGGCGACCUCCAACGUCUUCAGCUUGUCUUCACGGGCUUCCUUACAAUGCACUCGGACCAGAGACAGCGCCACGUCCACGCCACACCGAGCGGCAGACUUCUUCCAUGCCUGCACUCUGCUUGGAACAUCCUCCAGUCGAGUCAUCAACCCCUCUGUCUCAUUCUGGGAGUCGUCUUCAGGCCACAGCUCUUUGUCAAUUCGGCCGACAACUCCUCUCAGGCGACCAAUGAAAGGACCUACCUUAUUAAGGCGGGAAUUCACUCGGAACAUGUCCCGGUUAGCUUCAUCACCGAGUGGAACAUUCGGUUGCCCAAGCGACCGUUCAAUUUCGGCAGUUUCAGCUUCAACGUCCCGACAGAAAUCUGCAAAGAAAAGACAAUGAGAAAAUAAGCGCGGAGUGAACUCCAAAGUCAAAGAGCACUCGGCAAGCAACUUACCACCAAGCAGUGCGACCAUCUUCUUCGCCCAGUCGCCGACGUAGUUCUCCUACGCUCUACACCGAGCGUUCAUUAACUUCAGCUGGCCCAUCCAUUCAGAUCUCUCCUUCUUCAUUUUUUCUACCUGGGCUAGCAGUGCCUUGUUAGUCCCCCGAGAUUCCUCCAACGAUACUUCUCGUUUAGCGAGAGCCUUCUUCAUGCCAGUCAGAUCAUUCACAGCUACCUCCAAGUCGACAGCAAGUUGAGUCUUCUCAGCCUUCAGAGCAUUAUAGGCCGAUCCCAUUUCACAAGUCUUGUGUCAAAGAGACACAAAGGGAGGAUAAGCCAGGUUCAACAAGGAAAAAGUCUCGACAGAUUCUUCAGACCCCUGCCGAUGCAAGCAAUCGACAGUGGUCUCGGGGACUACACCCAGUGGGUUCACUAAGAGUGACCCCACUGGUAUGAAGCUCGAACAGGUCGGUCCCAUUGAGCUCCAUAGCAAACCAACAACACUAUGAGAUUACUCUUACUCGACCCGAGUAACACUACUCUCGGGGACUACACCCAGUGGGUGCAAUCGACGUGCCCCCCACUGGUACCAUUUGUUGGGUAACGUAGCAUAAAUUCAAAAUUUUCCUACGCAUGUUCAUUAUCAAGUGACAACACUUGCCUAUGGUCAGGAAACCUUGAUUGUUUACUUAGGCGAACAGCUAAGUCCCCGAGUGUGACUUUUGGUGCACACUCGGAGCGAGGCAUCGUGGUUCAUCCGAUGAGAUCAUCGUGGAGCUAGUGGGAGCCCGGCGAUUCCGAUCUAGUGCCGAACAACGGCACCUUCGCGUUCAACACACGUGCAGCCCGGUGACGUCUCCCGCACCUUGAUCCAGCAAGGAGGAGGGAGAGGCUGGGGAAGAAGUCCAGCAACACGACGGUGUGGUGUCGGUGGAGAGACGAGGUCUCCCGGCAGGGCUUCGCCAANNNNNNNNNNNNNNNNNNNNNNNNNNNNNNNNNNNNNNNNNNNNNNNNNNNNNNNNNNNNNNNNNNNNNNNNNNNNNNNNNNNNNNNNNNNNNNNNNNNNUUGACUACUAAUGGGAUUAUCGUUUGCAAAAUAUGUGAUCCUUUUAGUGAAUCGCCAUUUUUGGAUUAAUUAUCCUAUUAGACUAUUGCACGCGGGUAACUAACAUGACCGUGUGUAAUAACAGCGAUGGUAUUCUUCGAGUCCUUCCACACAUAAAAUUAUUCCGGACAUCGAAAUCUAAAUAUUUGAUGCCCCGCCCCCUACAAAAUAGGGCAAAAGGAAAAAAAAUAUUUUUUUCAAAAGAAUGUACAGAAUACAUGGCAUAGACGAAUGGGGAUAUUUCCAUCAUAUGUCUAUGGAAAUCCACAAAACCGAAUGGGCAUGCAAACUGGAAUAACAGAAGUAUGGUACUUUUUAGUUCGACAUAUCUUAUUGCUAAUGAGAGGUAAUCAUAUCUUGUUGUCAUGCAUGGGGGCUCAUAGAAUGUCCAUACGUGCACACAUCAUUAUUGAAUUUAUGUCCUACAAAAUUUAUCUCAACCUUUUUUUAUAGAUGCACGAUAUAGAUAGAAACAUUUUGUCAUGUAAACAAUGUGAGCUCACCAGAUGUCCACGUGUAACAACUCCAAUUGUCAACCGGUGUGAUCGCUAACUAACCCACUCUUAAAGAAUUUGGCAUGCUAUAUCUCGUCUUUGGAAUUCACACUUCGCCUUGUGUUAUUAUUUACUAAAACUAGCUAGCAUGCAAUUGUUAACCACAUCCCCAUGAGUUGUUCUCUAGGGAAUCCUAUUUUUGUCUUGUGAAAAAGGUCCAUUUUUUACAUUGUACAACAAAAACUUCUUUAUGUGAUAUAAAGUAUAAGAAAUGGGCGCUUUAUUCUUCAAAUAAAGAAAUUCAUUUUUUUCUUGACUAGGUAGAUUCUAGAUCCGAAAGACGGACUUAAUGGAUAUGUUGGAUGUUUGUCUUGUCCAAAGUUCUGCAAAUAAACUCGUCCUGAGUGUACCACUAAAAAAUCAUGAAAAUAUUUUUUUGCGUACUUUUUUGUUUUGUCAUUGCAUAUGCAUGUAAUUUGUUUUCACACAUCGUAUGUUAAAGACAAACUAACAUAUGGUUGUGUUUCAUGAAGUUAAGGGCUCGUGCAUUCAGUCUUGAUUCUUUACUGUUGGGACUCGUGAAUCAUAUAUUCCAUUUCCAAUUGCACGUACAUACCAUCUACAAGAUGCUCAUGAUUUGACAUGUCUUUCGGAUGCAAGAUCGGUAAGAUGACCUAUCCAGGAUGUUCAUUGUGCGGGUUGUGUAAAAUAGUACAAACGAUACCGUCACAGGUGUAUCCCUAGAGAAUAUGUUUUUUCAUGUAAUCGUUUUGAGUGUGGUUAGAUUUGAAUUUAUUUUUUUUUCUUUCACAUAUGCCACACCGACACAAAAUGAUUUGCACUUUUGUGAGAUCCGCAUUAAGAUUGAGAACACUUUCAUUCAAGUUGUAGUGUUCACUAUUGGGAAUAAUCAAUCGGUUAGAUUUUUGUGUGAUAAUAUAUGUCCUUUAUAAGAAGCAUUCUAUGAGGAAAAAUAGACUGCGGAUAGGAGGCUUUCGGGUGUAAAAUGGGGUUUUAAUACUUCUCGUAGCUUUAUAACCAUACGUAUGUACCAUCUGUCGGCAAUAAUAUAUUAUUGAUGUGCCCUUGCUUUCGCAUGCUAGACACAAAAGGAAGAACAUCCGACAUGUUUGUCGUGCGUCGACGAAAAGUACUGCUUACAAAUGUAUUCCGUUUGNNNNNNNNNNNNNNNNNNNNNNNNNNNNNNNNNNNNNNNNNNNNNNNNNNNNNNNNNNNNNNNNNNNNNNNNNNNNNNNNNNNNNNNNNNNNNNNNNNNNAAUUUCUGGUGCAGACGCAAUCCACUCCAUCAAGUUUACAUAUGAUGAUAGAGAAAUGUAUUUUUUAGGUCGUCAGUCUCAACCCUUGCAUGUUCACCCUUAACAUCCUACUAGUCAACUGAUGUUUUGUAGUACAAUGUCGGCCCCUUAUACGGGUAAUCAAUCACUACUUACAUUCAACCUUCUUUGGAUGCAACUCAUUGCGGUCGCAUUAAAUAUUCAUGGUCCUAUCGUUUGCAUAAUGUGUGAUCCUUCGAGUGAAACUCCAUGUUGGGUUUAAUUAGCCUAUUAUGCUAUUGCAUGCGGGAAACUAACAUGUUCGUUCGUAAUAACAGUUAUGGUAUUCUUAGAGUCCUUACACACAAAGAUAUCAUCGUGGUCGUCAAAAUUCAAAUAUUUGUUGUUCCCCCCUAAAAACAGAGAAAAAAGGACAAAAAACAUUCCAAAAUAAUGCACACAUUACAUGGCAUAGAAUGUGGAUAUUAUCAUCAUAUGUCUAUAGAAAUCCAAAAAACCAAAUGAGCAUGCAAACUGGAAUAACUGAAUUAUGGUAUUUUUUAGUUUAACAUAUCUUAUUGCUAAUGAGAGGUGAUCAUAUCUUUGUGUCAUCCGUGUGGGCUCAUGGAAAGUCCACAUGUGCACACUCCAUUAUUGAAUUGUUGUCCUGCAAAAUUUAUCUCAACCCUUUUUUAUAGAUGCAUUAUAUAGAUAGAAGCAUUUUCUAAUGUUAACAAUGUGAGCUCACUAGAUGUCCACAUGUAACAACUCCAAUUGUCAACCGGUGUGCUGGCUAACUAACUCAUUCUUAAGGAAUUUGGCAUGCUAUGUCUCAUCUUUGGCAUUCAGACUUUGCCUUGUUUUAUUAUUUACUAAGUGUAAAGUAUUAUGGUUUAUACCAUAUAAAGAAGCAUUUAUUAUUUACCUAGGAGAGAGGUCUAGGUCCUAUGAGAGAGACGUUUUUCUGGUUUGUAUGACAAAAUUUAUCUUAACCCUUUUUAUAGAUGCAUGAUAUAAAUUGAAGCAUUUUGUGAUGUCAACAAUGUGAGCUCACUAGAUGUCCACAUGUUGGAUGUUUGUCUUUUCCAAACUUUUACAAAUAAACUCGUCCUGAGUGUACCACUAAAGAAUCAUGAAAAUCUUUCCGUGCGUACUUUUUUAUUUUCACAUUGCAUAUGCAUGUAAUUUAUUUUCUUGCACGUAUGUUAAAGAAAAACUUACAGAUGGUUGUGUUUCAUGAAGUUAAGUACUCGUGCAUUCAGUUAUGAUUCUUUACUAUUGGGACUGAUGAAUCAUUUAUUGUAUUUCUGAAAAAAUUAAAUUCGAGUUGAUCAAGGAUACGUCAUUCUAAGCUACCUAUAAUCAAAUAUUUAAUAUUGUAUAUCAAAGAUUUACAACUGCACCUACAUACCAUCUACCAUCUAUAAGAUGCUCAUGAUCUGACUUGUCUUUUACAUACAAGAUCAGUAACACGACCUAUCAAGGACGUUCACCGUGCGUGUGGUGUAAAGUAGUACAAACGAUACCGUCACGGGUGUUGCCCUAGAGAAUCUGUGUGUUUUUUGUAAUCAUUUCUAUUGUGGUUAGAUUUGAAUUUAAUCGAGACAAAAUGAUUUCCUCUUUUGUAAGAACGGCAAUAAUAUUGAGAACUCUUUCAUUCAAGUUGUAGUGUUGACUGUUGAGAAUAAUCAAUCGGUUAGAUUUUUGGGUGUUAAUAUAUGCCCUUUAUAAUAAAUAUUCUAUGAGGAAAGAUAGACUAGGGAUAGGAGGCUUUCGGGGGUAAAGUGGGGUUUAAUACUUUUCAUCGUGGCUUUGUAACGAUACAUGUGUACCAUCUAUCGCGAAUAAUAUAUUCUUGAUUGGGCCUUGCUUUCACAUGCAAGACAUAAAUGGAAGCCCAUCCAAGAUGUUGGUCGUGUGUCGACGAAAAGUACUUCUAUUAAAUGUAUUCCGUUUGUACCGCUAAAGAAACUGAAUUUUGUUGGUGUACUUGUUUAUUUUGUAGUUGGCUAUGAAUGUAAAUUUCUUACUUUGAUGCUUGUGAAAGAGAAAUUAACGCAUCGAUUUUUUGCUUUUGGAAGAACCUCAUGACGGUCAAGAACCAGUUACUGAAUUACAAAUCGAUUUAAUUUUGUAUAUUAAUAUAUUUCACUAUAAAAGGAUGAAAGGACUGCAUGGCAUAGAUUGACCUCGUUAAUAUUCUUCUAAUACGUUUGUUCACAUCCAACAAAAUGAGUUAGCUUGCGGGCCUCGAAAUAGUGAGAUAUGUUAGUUUUAUAGCGUGGCAUCUCACAUCAAUGAUGGAAAAUAAUAGUUUCUUCAUGUCUUAUGUGUGGGCUCAAAAUAUGUCCACGGAUCGCCAUAACGUUAGCUACUAUUUUUACCUUUUUCUAUUGAUGAUAACGAGAGAUGUAUUUUUUAAGGUCAUAAGUGUCAACCCUUCUAUGUUCAUCCUUAACGUCCUACUAGUCAACUAAUGUUUUAUAGUACAAUGUUGGCCUCUUAUACUGGUAUUCAAUCACUACUUACAUUUGACCUUCUCUGGAUGCAGCUUAUUGCGGUCGCAUUGAAUAUUAAUGGGCUUAUUGUUUGCAAAAUGUGUGAUCCUUCUAGUGUCGCCGUAUUGGGAUUAAUUAGCCUAUUAGAAAAUUGCAGACUGGUAACUAACAUGACCGCUCGUAAUAACAGUUUUGGUAUUAUUAGAGUCCUUUCACACACAAAAAUCAUUCUGGACAUCAAAAUCCAAAUAUUUGAUGCCCACCCAACAAAACAGGGCAAAGGAAAAAAAAUCAUUUUUCCAAAAGAAUGUACAAAAUACAUGGCAUAGACGAAUGGGGGUAUUUCCAUCAUAUGUCUACAGAAAUCCACAAAACCGAAUUAGCAUGCAAACCGAUUAUGGUAGUUUUUAGUUCGACAUAUAGUAUUGGUAAUGAGAGGUAAUCAUAUCUUGAUAACAUCCGUGUGGGCUCAUAGAAUGUCCACGCAUGCACAUAGCAUUACUGAAUUGUUAUCCUAAAAAAUUAUAAAAUCCCUUUUUUAUAGAUGCAUGAUAUAGAUAGAAGCAUUUUCUGAUGUCAAGAAUGUGAGCUCACUAUAUGUCCACAUGUAACAACUCCAAUUGUCAACCGUUGUGCUGGCUAACUAACUCAUUCUUAAGGAAUUUGGCAUGUUAUAUCUCGUCUUUCGCAUUCACACUUUGCCUUGUUUUAUUAGUUACUAAAACCUAGCUAGCAUGCAGUUGUUAGCCACACCCCCUAGAGUUGAUCUCUAGGGAAUCUUGUUUGUUAUCUCGUGAAAAAUAUCCAUCUGGUUUUCACAUUGUACAACAAAUACUUCUUUAUGUGAUAUAAAGUAUAAUAAAUGGACACUAGAUUCUUCAAAGAGGGAAAUUCUAUUUUUUCGGCUAGUUAGAUUCUAGAGCCGAAAGAUGGACUUAAUGGAUAUGUUGGAUUAUUGUCCAAAGUUUUACAAAGAAAGAAUCAUGAAAAUAUUUUUAUGUGUACUGUUUCGCUUUGUUCUUCCAUAUGCACGUAAUUUUUUUCUCGCACAUAUGUUAAAGAAAAACUAACAGAUAGUUGUAUUUCAUGAAGUUAAGGACUCUGCAUUUACUCAUGAUUCUUUCUGGAAUAAUGAAUCAUAUAUUCCAUUUCCAAAAAAAUGCAAUUCGAGUCGAUCAGGGAUAGUUCAUUUUAAGCUACUUAUAAUCGAAUAUUUAAUAUUGUAUGUUGUAGAUUUCCAACUACACGUACAUACCAUCUACCAUCUACAAGAUGCUCUUGAUCUGACAUGUCUUUUGGAUGUAAGAUCAGUAAGACGACCUAUCCAGAAUGUUCAUUGUGUGUGUUGUGUAAAAUAGUACAAACGAUACCAUCAAAGGUGUAGCCCUAGAGAAUUGGGUUUUUUAUGUAAUCGAUUAUACUGUGGUUAGAUUUGAAUUUAUUUAUUUUCUUUCACAUAUGCUACACCGAGUCAAAAUGAUUUUCACUUACGUAUGAUCCGUAUUAAGAUUGAGAACUCUUUCAUUCAAGUUGUAGUGUUGAUUGUCGGGUAUAAUCAAUCGGUUAGAUUUUUGUGUGUUAAUACAUGUCCUUUAUGCGAAACAUUCUAUGAGCAAACACAGACAAGGGAUAGGAGGCUUUCAGGUGGAAAAUGAGGUUUUAAUACUUUUCAUCGUAGCUUUGUAACCAUACGUGUGUACCAUAUUUCGCCAAUAAUAUAUUCUUGAUCUAGCCUUGCUUACUCAUGCAAGACAUAAAAGGAAUCUGAUACGUCCAUUUUGCAUCAUGCUUUCAUGUUGAUAUUUAUUGCUUUAUGGGCUGUUAUAUUACUUUGUGGUACCAUAUUCAUGCAUUUUCUCUCUUAUUUUGCAAGGUUUAUUUGAGGAGGGACAAUUCAGGCAGCUGGAAUUCUGGACUGAAAAAGGAGCAAAUCUUAGUCCACUAUUCUGCACAUCUCCAAAUGCCCUGAAAAGUUACAUUGAUUUUUUUGGAAUUAUAUAAAAAAUAUUGGGCGAAAGAAGUACUAGAGGAGGGCCACCAUGGCACCACAAACCCUGCCACCGCCCCUACCCCCUGGUGGCGGAGGGCAAGCUUGUGGGCUCCCUGACGGCCCACUAGCCCCCCUCUUUUGCUAUAUGAAGGGUUUCGUUCAAAAGUUACAUUGAAAUUUUUGGGAUUAUAUAAAAAAUAUUGGGUGAAAGAAGUACCAGAGGAGGGCCACCAGGGCACCACAAACCCUGCCACCGCCCCCUACCCCCUGGUGGCGGAGGGCAAGCUUGUGGGCUCCUUGACGGCCCACUAGCCCCCCUCUUUUGCUAUAUGAAGGGUUUCGUUCCAGAAAAAAUCAUUCGGGAGCUUUUUCGUGGUUUCGCCGCCGCCACGAGGCGGAAUUUGAGGAGAUCCAAUCUAGAGCUCCGGCAGGACGAUCCUGCCGGGGAAACUUCCCUCCCGGAGGGGGAAAUCGUCGCCAUCGUCAUCACCAACACUCCUCUCGUCGGAGGGGAGGCAUCUUCAUCAAAAUCUUCAUCAGCACCAUCUCCUCUCCAAUCCCUAGUUCAUCUCUUGUAACCAAUCUUCGUCUUGCAACUCCCAUUGGUACUUGUAAGGUUGCUAGUAGUGUUGAUUACUCUUUGUAGUUGAUGCUAGUUGGAUUACUUGGUGGAAGAGUUUAUGUUCAGAUCCUUGAUGUUAUUCAUUACACCUCUGAUCAUGAUUAUGAUUAUGCUUUGUGAGUAGUUACUUUUGUUCCUGAGGACAUGGGAUAAGUCAUGCUGAUAAUAGUCAUGUGAAUUUGAUAUUCGUUCGGUAUUUUGAUAUGUUGUAUGUUGUCUUUUCCUCUAGUGGUGUUAUGUGAACGUCGACUACAUAACACUUCACCAUACUUGGGCCUAGAGGAAGUCAUUGGGGAGUAGUAAGUAGAUGAUGGGUUGCUGGAGUGAGAGAAGCUUAAACCCUAGUCUAUGCGUUGCUUCGUAAGGGGCUGAUUUGGAUCCACUAGUUUAAUGCUAUGGUUAGACGUUGUCUUAAUUCUUCUUUUGUAGUUGCGGAUGCUUGAGAGGGAGGUUAAUCAUAAGUGGGAUGCUUGUCCAAGUAAGGUCAGUACCCAAGCGCCGGUCCACCCACAUAUCAAACUAUCAAAGUAACGAACGCGAAUCAUAAGAACAUGAUGAAACUAGCAUGAUAGAAAUUCCCGUGUGUCCUCGGGAGCGGUUUUCCUCCUAUAAGACUUUGUUCAGGCUUUCCCUUGCUACAAAAGGGAUUGGGCCACUUGCUGCACCGUUACUACUACUUGUUACUUGUUACUUUUUGCUUGCUACGUUUCACCUCGCUACACAAUCACUUGUUACCGCUACUUUCAGUGCUUGCAGUUAUUACCUUGCUGAAACCCGUUUAUCAGAGCCUUCUGCUCCUCGUUGGGUUCGACACUCUUACUUAUAGAAAGGACUACGAUUGAUCCCCUAUACUUGUGGGUCAUCAAGACUCUUUUCUGGCUCCGUUGCCGGGGAGUGAAGCGCCUUUGGUAAGUGGAAAUUUGUAAGGAAACAUUUAUAUACUGUGCUGAAAUUUAUUGUCACUUGUCACUAUGGAAACUGUUCCUUCGAGGAGUUUGUUCGGGGUAUCUUCACCACGAACGGAAGCGCGAGGAGUUGUUCCUCGACCUGAGGUACCUACUGAAAAUAUCUUUUAUGAAAUUCCUUCGGGUAUGCUUGAGAAACUGCUGGCUAAUCCUUUCACAGGAGAUGGAUCUUCACAUCCAGACUUGCAUCUGAUUUAUGUAGAUGAAGUUUGUGGUUUAUUUAAGCUUGCAGGUUUGCCCGAGGAUGAGGUAAAUAAGAAAGUAUUUCCUUUAUCUUUGAAGGAUAAGGCUUUGACAUGGUAUAGGCUAUGUGAUGAUACUGGAUCAUGGGGCUACAAUCGGUUGAAAUUGGAAUUUCAUCAAAAGUUCUAUCCUAUGCAUUUAGUACAUCGUGAUCGGAACUUUAUUUAUAACUUUUGGCCUCCUGACAGGGAAAGCAUAGCUCAAGCUUGGUGGAGGCUUAAAUCAAUGCUAUAUUCAUGCCCCAAUCAUGAGCUCUCGAGAGAAAUCAUCACUCAAAACUUUUAUGCUCGGCUUUCUCCUGAAGAUCGUACCAUGCUUGACACUUCUUGUACCGGUUCUUUUAUGAAGAAGGAUAUUGAUCACAAGUGGAAUUUAUUGGAAAGAAUCAAACGCAACUCUGAAGAUUGGGAGCUGGAGGAAGGUAAGGAGUCAGGUAUGAAUUUCCAGUUUGAUUGCGUUUAAUCUUUUGUGGAGACCAACACUUUUAGAGAUUUUAGCGCUAAGUAUGGACUUGACUCUGAGAUAAUAGCUUCUCUAUGUGAAUCUUUUGCUGCUCAUGUUGAUCUUCCCAAAGGGAAGUGGUUCAAAUAUCAUCCUCCUAUAGAAAUCAACAUAGCCAAAACCAAUCUAGUUGAGGAGAAAAUCAUUGCUUUUAGUGAUCCUGUUGUUCCUUGUGCUUACACUGAGAAACCACCAUACCCUGCUAGGAUAAAGGAUUAUUCUAAAGCUCCAACUGUGAUAUGUAGGGGUUACAUUAGACCACUUGCACCCCCUGAGGAGAUUAGAGUUGAACCUAAUGUUGCUAUUAUCAAAGAUCUCUUAGCCGAAGACAUAGAUGGGCAUGUUAUCAAAUUCUGUGAGGACUCCGCUAGAAUUGCUAAACCUCACGCGAAACACAAAUGCGGACCUGUAUUUGGCCUGCCCGUUGUUUCUGUCAAGAUAGGAGAUCACUGUUACCAUGUUUUAUGUGAUAUGGGAGCUAGUGUUAGUGCAAUACCCCGUUCCUUAUAUGAUGAAAUCAAAGAUGAGAUUGCACCUGCUGAGUUAGAACCCUUUGAUGUCACUAUUACGCUAGCUAAUAGAGACACUAUCUGCCCUCUGGGAACUGUGAGAGACGUAGAAGUCCUUUGUGGUAAGACGAAGUAUCCUACUAAUUUCCUCGUCCUUGGUACUGCACAAGAUAGCUUUUGUCCCAUCAUAUUUGGUAGACCCUUUCUCAAGACUUUCAAUGCUCACAUUGAUUGCAUUAAGCAGACCGUCAGAGUUAGUUUCGAGGGUGUGUCUCAUGAAUUUAACUUCUCCAAGUUUGGAAGACAACCCCAUGAAAGAGAGUCGUCUGGUAGGGAUGAAAUCAUUGCUCUUGCCUCUAUUGCCGUACCUCCUACGGAUCCUUUAGAGCAAUAUCUGCUUGAGCAUGAAAAUGAUAUGCAUAUGGAGGAGAGAGAUGAGAUAGAUAAAAUUGUCUUAGAAUAAUAUCCUAUUCUCAAGAAUAAUCUGCCUGUUGAACUGCUUGGGGAUCCUCCCCACCAAAGGGUGAUCCUGUGUUCGAGCUUAAACAGUUGCCUUAUACUCUUAAGUAUGCCUACCUUGAUGAGAAGGAGAUAUAUCCUGUCAUUAUUAGUGCUCUCCUCUCAGAGCACGAAGAAAAGAAAUUACUAAAAACUCUGAGGAAGCACCGUGCUGCUAUUGGAUAUACUCUUGAUGAUCUUAAGGGUAUUAGUCCCACUCUAUGUCAGCACAAGAUUAAAACUGAUCCUGACUUCAAACCAGUUGUUGAUCAUCAAAGGAGAUUGAAUCCUAAGAUGAAAGGGGUCGUUAGAAAAGAAAUAUUAAAGCUUCUGGAAGCAGGAAUCAUUUAUCAUGUUGCUCAUGGUGAUUGGGUAAGUCCAGUACAUUGCGUACCUAAGAAGGGAGGUAUAACUGUCGUUCCUAAUGAUAAGGAUGAACUAAUCCCACAAAGGAUUAUUACCAGCUAUAGGAUGGUGAUAGACUUCCGAAAACUGAACGAGGCAACCAGGAAAGAUGAUUAUCCUUUGCCGUUUAUCGACCAAAUGCUAGAAAGGCUAUCAAAACACACACACUUCUGCUCUCUAGACGGUUAUUCAGGUUUCUUGCAAAUACCUGUUGCACAAUCUGAUCAGGAGAAAACCACUUUCACCUGCCCCUUCGGUACCUUUGCCUAUAGACGUAUGCCUUUUUGCUUAUGCAAUGCGCCUGCCACCUUUCAAAGAUGUAUGAUGGCUAUAUUCUCUGACUUUUGUGAAAAGAUUUUCGAGGUUUUCAUGGAUGACUUCUCCGUUUACGGGUCUUCCUUUGACGAUUGCCUCAGCAAUCUUGAUCGAGUCUUACGGAGAUGCGAAGAUACCAACCUCGUCUUGAAUUGGGAGAAGUGCCACUUUAUGGUUAAUGAAGGUAUCGUUUUAGGACACAAAAUUUCUGAGAGAGGCAUUGAAGUUGAUAAGGCUAAGGUUGAUGCAAUUGAGAAAAUGCCUUGCCCCACGGAUAUCAGAGGUAUACGAAGUUUCCUAGGUCAUGCUGGUUUCUAUAGAAGGUUCAUUAAAGACUUCUCUAAGAUUUCUAGGCCUCUUACCAACCUCUUCCAGAAGGAUGUUCCGUUUGUUUUUGAUGAGGAUUGUGAGGAAGCCUUUGAAAUACUUAAGAAGGCUUUGUUAACCGCACCUAUUGUUCAACCACCUGACUGGAACUUGCCCUUUGAAAUCAUGUGUGACGCUAGUGAUUAUGUUGUUGGGGUUGUUCUAGGACAAAGAGUUGAUAGGAAGUUGAAUGUUAUUCACUACGCUAGUAAAACUCUAGACAGUGCACAAAGAAACUAUGCCACUACGGAGAAGGAAUUUUUAGCAGUCGUGUUUGCAUGUGAAAAGUUCAGAUCUUAUAUACUUGACUCCGAAGUCACUAUUCACUCUGAUCAUGCUGCUAUUAAGUACCUUAUGGAGAAGAAGGACGCUAAGCCUAGGCUGAUCAGAUGGGUUCUCCUGCUACAGGAAUUCGAUUUGCACGUCGUUGACCGAAAGGGUGCUGAUAACCCUGUAGCAGAUAACUUGUCUAGGCUAGAGAAUGUCCUUGAUGACCCACUACCUAUUGAUGACAGCUUACCUGAUGAGCAAUUAAAUGUCAUCCGCACUUCACAUAGUGCAUCGUGGUAUGCCGAUUAUGCAAACUAUAUCGUAGCCAAAUACAUACCACCCAGUUUCACCUAUCAACAAAAGAAGAAAUUCUUCUUUGAUUUGAGAUACUACUUUUGGGAUGAUCCUCACCUUUAUAAGGAAGGAGUAGAUGGUGUUAUUAGACGUUGUGUGCCUGAACAUGAACAGGGACAGAUCCUGCAGAAGUGUCAUUCUGAAGCCUACGGAGGACACCACGCUGGAGAUAGAACUGCCCAUAAGGUAUUGCAAUCAGGUAUCUAUUGGCCCACUCUCUUCAAGGAUGCCCAAAAGUUUGUCUUGUCUUGUGACGAAUGCCAAAGAAUAGGGAACAUCAUCAUAAGGUAUUGCAAUCAGGUUUCUAUUGGCCCACUCUCUUCAAGGAAGUUUGUCUUGUCUUGUGACGAAUGCCAAAGAAUAGGGAACAUCAGUAAGCAUCAAGAAAUGCCUAUGAACUAUUCACUUGUCAUUGAACCAUUUGAUGUCUGGGGCUUUGAUUAUAUGGGACCCUUCCCGAGUUCCAAUGGGUACACUCACAUCUUAGUUGUUGUCGAUUACGUUACUAAGUGGGUAGAAGCUAUCGUCACUAAAAAUUCUGAUCACCACACCUCUAUUAAGAUGCUUAAAGAAGUCAUAUUCCCAAGAUUUGGAGUCCCUAGAUAUCUGAUGACUGGUGGCGGUUCACACUUCAUUCAUGGUGUUUUCCGCAAGAUGCUCGCUAAGUAUGAUGUCAACAAUAGAGUUGCAUCUCCUUAUCAUCCUCAGUCUAGUGGUCAAGUGGAGUUGAGUAAUAGGGAGAUCAAAUUGAUCCUACAAAAGACCGUCAAUAGAUCUCGAAAGAAUUGGUCUAGCAAACUUGACGAUGCACUAUGGGCUUAUAGGACUACUUAUAAGAAUCCCAUGCGCAUGUCACCGUAUAAAAUGGUUUAUGAUAAAGCAUGUCAUUUACCACUUGAGCUGGAACACAAAGCUUAUUGGGGAAUCAAAGAGCUCAACUUUGAUUUCAAACGUGCCGAUGAGAAGCGGUUGUUUGAUAUCAGCUCGUUAGAUGAAUGGAGAGCCCAGGCAUAUGAGAAUGCCAAGUUGUUCAAGGAAAAGGUUAAGAGAUGGCAUGACAAACGAAUACAGAAACGAGAGUUCAAUGUAGGUGAUUAUGUCUUGUUAUACAAUUCUCCUUUGAGAUUCUUUGCAGGCAAGAUUCUCUCUAAACGGGAAGGUCCUGAUGUUAUCGAGGAAGUAUAUCGUUCCGGUGCCAUCAAAAUCGAUAACACGGAAGAAAAUUUUCCGAGAGUCGUAAAUAGGCAAAGAAUCAAGCAUUACAUCUCUGGUACUCCCAUAAAUGUUGAGACCAUUAUCAUCAAUGUCAUAACUCCACAGGAGUACAUAAGGGAUGUUUUGCAGCCUGUUUCAGACCCUGAAAACGAAGAGGUGUCUGUUUCGGUAAGAAAUUGGACUCCAAUGCUUUUCCAAUAGGAAAUUUCCUCCGUUUUGGAAUUUUUGGAAAAUUAGAAAAAUAAAAAGCAGUCCGGAGAGCGCACGAGGCGACCAUAAGCCCUGCCACCGCCCCCUACCCCCCUGGUGGCGGGGGGCAAGCUUGUGGGCACCUCAUGUGCCUCCCGGACUCUGUUUUCUUGCGGAGCACUCCUUCUGGUCCAGAAAAAAUCAAUAUAUACUCUCCCGAAGGUUUUGAUCUCCGCAUCGCGCAGUUUUCCUCUAUUUUCGUUUCGAGCCUGUUUCUGCCGCAAAUCUAGGUCAAGAUGUCUUCUCAAGAUUCAGAGGGGGAGAGCUAUGUGGCUGACUACCUUUCUAACCCCAAGGUCUAUGGAGACUUGGAACCAUAUGGCUGGACUACUCACGAGGAAGAGGACUAUGAGCCCAAGGGGAAGGAACAAACGAGUUCUGAGGAAGAGGAGGCUCCUCUACCUCAACCUGGACGCACUCAUGUGGAGUUCAAGAAGUCAAGCCUCCCUGACCAUAGGAAGAAGGCUAAGACCUUGUUUAUCCCUUCUCGUUUCUUGCAGGAGAGUAAGCAGGAACUUUUCCAUAGAGUGUUGAAACUUGAGGAGGAAAAUGACGACCUAAGGGAGCAGAACUUUUUGCUCAAGUGGAAGUUAGACAAGCUCAAGACUACUCCAACAAUUCCACCACCAUCACCACCAAAGGAAGACAACUAAGCAUUGGUAUGGGAAAUCCCCUUGGCUUCUGCCAAGCUUGGGGGAGUUGCCCUCGUAUCGUAUCACCUUUAUAUCUUUUGCUUUUACCUUUGUUUUAGUUCUUUCCUUUUCAAUUUUUAUUUCUUAUCUUAGAGGAAUAAAUCUUUACUGUCUAGUUUGAGUCUUUUGAUUUUGUCUCUCCCCCGAUGUAUUCGAGCUUACGAGCUAUAUAAUAAAGAGUAUCUUAGUCAAGGGCUUUGCUUUGUGCCAUGAUCAAAAGUAUGAAAAGAACGAUAGCAUGAAAGAUCAUGAGACGAUCUUAUGGAAAGUGAUAACUUCACAUAUGACACGUAUGAUGAUUGAAACUUGUUGAGAAUAAAUCAACAUAGACCUCAGUCAUUGUUGCAAUUAAUAAGAAGUAAUAAGGAAAGAGAGGUUCACAUAUAAAUAUAUCAUCUUAGACACUUUUUACAAUUGUGAGCACUCACCAAACUAUUACAUGCUUAGGAGUAGAUGUUGGACAAGGAAGACAACAUAAUGAAUUGUGUUUGCUUGGUUCCAAACAAUGUUAUAUGAUUAAAGAUCCCUUAGCAUGUGACGAUUGCUUCCACCUCAUAUUAGCCAAAACUUCCGCACCAAGUAGAGAUACUACUUGUGCAUCCAUAAACCUCCAACCCAGUUUUGCCAUGAGAGUCCACCAUACCUACCUAUGGAUUGAAUAAGAUCCUUCAAGUAAGUUCUCAUCGGUGCAAGCAAUAAAAAUUGCUCUCUAAUAUGUACGAUCUAUUAGUGUCGUGGGUAUAAGUCUGACAGUAGAAGUAUGGGGUACGAAAGUAUAUGGGCAGAGCCUUAGCUACGGCGACGAUGUAUGAGUUCAGGCCCCUCUACGGUGGAGGUAAAAGCCCUACGUNNNNNNNNNNNNNNNNNNNNNNNNNNNNNNNNNNNNNNNNNNNNNNNNNNNNNNNNNNNNNNNNNNNNNNNNNNNNNNNNNNNNNNNNNNNNNNNNNNNNCCCGCCGAGCUCCCACGAGGUUAUCACAUGUGCCCGUGAUGCUGCGGACCCACGCACUCACAGAGUCCUCGCUCACGUCUUCAGGAUGGGACCGAGUGGUAUCCGAAGGCCCCGUGUAAUGCCACAUUGCGUGGUCUCGGGCCUGGAGCGGCUGGAUGCAUCGACCCAGAAAAGUCUCCAACAGGUCCAUGCCGGUGACUCCCUUCCGGACGACGGCUAUCAGCGCGUCGAUCAAAGGCUGGAUCUAGGUUCUUUCUCCCUUAGAGAGCGCUAGCUUCCUGGGAGGGCCCGGACGGUCUAAACUGAAGGGUGGUAACCCACUCGAAGCAUUCGGGCAGGCAAUGUCCUGGCAAUAGAACCAGGACAAUUGCCAGUUCCUAACCGACUCGGAUAGCUGAAGGGAGGGAUAGCUACUUUUCGUUUUCUUCUGAAAUCCUAAACCCCCGCAGAGUGGAGGAUGUGUGUCUUGUCAUUAGACUGGCUAAGCUUCUUAACAUUUUGAGAUCUAGCGGCGAAAACAUAUUUGAAGAGCCCCCAGUGGGGAGGACAUCCUAUGAAGCACUCGCAGAGGGUGAUGAAUGCGGAAAGAUGAGCUAUCGCAUUCGGCGGAAAGUGAUGGAGGUGCGCCCCGAAGUAAUUCAUGAUACCUCGGAAGAAAGGAUGGGGAGGCAGGGAGAAACCUCUGGCCACGUGGCUGAGCAGCAGAACGCGCUCCCCUCCUUCGGCGCAGGCUCCAUCUCGCCUUCCGGCAGCCUCCAAGACUUAUUGACAACCAUGCCGUGCUCCACCAGCUCCAGCACGUCGGUCUCCCUCACCGUGGAGGGGAGGAAAUCCCCCUGAGUCGAGCCCGCCGGCAACGCCCGCUGCCGACGCUGAGUGGAGGCCGCCCCCUUCUUCUUCUUCUUCGCCUCGAGCUUGCUGGUCUGCCCCUUUGUCAUGGCGAGGGCGACGGAUCCGCAGAGGAGGAGGGGAAGGAGGUGGGCUAUAGGUGUGCAGAGAGUUGCGGGGAGGCGAGAUCGAUGGGAGGAAGACGAGCAGCGCAACAGGAAGGUCCGCCGGGAAGGCUUUAAUAGGCCUCCGACUGAAUCACCUAGAGGUGGGCCCAAGAUCUUAUCCUCCCAACCGGCUGCUGCAAGAUUAGUGGAGAGGAUCGCGGCGCGGUAAUCGAGGAGGAGAAAUCUACUCGAUGGCGAUGUCGUCAUCCCCGCUGAGCGUGCGUCAACCGAAAUUUGAGGAUCCCGGAAAAUCCGGCACUGUCAGUAUGACUGGUCACGACGAAAGAUUCCGCGGAAGAAAUCGGUCCCUCACGGCUUGUUUCACUUGCAUAUUCACUCGGAUCACUAGCCGCAAAGAUAAAAUGGAUCGAGGCAGACAACGCUAAGAUCACCUCAAUACCAGUCGGCUCCAAACUCCGCACGUCACUUCAUCGUUCCAGCACCCGAUCCAUUCGGGGACUAAUGAUGGGGUUAUAGUCCCAGGGUAGGGUCAUAGGUCUGCCCUAUAGGUCCUACCCAAGGACUACCCUUCAUAGGAGACAAGGCCCUUAGACAGUUCCGACUGAACUAAGGACGCCCCUAUCAUCCAGUCGGCGAUGAUCCACUCGGAGCAUAUCUAACGUACCGACUGGAAUCCACUCUGUACAUCGUAACCUCCCAGGAGGGCAACGGUCAUACGUUUUCACACACCAUAACUAGCAUUUAAGGCUUAUGUUAACAGUAACGCCAGCGUUUACUCGCCACUACUCCACCCCUGUCCACCGGACCAUUAUGAAGGGCAACGCACUCUAUAUAAGCCGCCCUUCAGCACUGGUACAGGGGUUGGCACUUGCUGUAAUCCCUUGAUACACUCAACACAAAGCUCCCAAGAGCACUGAGACGUAGGGCUUUUACCUCCACCGUAGAGGGGCCUGAACUCAUACANNNNNNNNNNNNNNNNNNNNNNNNNNNNNNNNNNNNNNNNNNNNNNNNNNNNNNNNNNNNNNNNNNNNNNNNNNNNNNNNNNNNNNNNNNNNNNNNNNNNGGAUGUUAUCACGAAGGCACACCAACGCCACGAAGGCUCACCCUAUUCUCCCUUUGAGAUAACUCUACGAAGGCGUUUCUCAACCACUAGUGGUAGCCUUGAGGUGGCUUCCAAACCUUCACAAACUUUCCGGGGGAAAUCACAAUGGUUUGAUUNNNNNNNNNNCACGAAGGCAUUUCUCAACCACUAGUGGUAAGCCUUGAGGUGCCUUCCAAACCUUCACAAACUUUCCGGGGGAAAUCACAAUGGUUUGAUUCCUCUCCGAAGACUCCUACCGACUAGGAGUCUCCAACCACCAAGAGUAAAAAGAUCACGGGGAUUGCUCAAAACUUGCUCAAAUCACAAAUCACUUUGGUGGGAAGGAGGAGAAGGAGACGAUCUAUCUUUUGAUUGGAACAACACUCAAAGGGACUCACAAAUGCUCUUGGGAUCUAAUAUUUGGUGUAGACAAGAGUGAGUGAGAAGAAAGGUGUUCUUGGAUGUGUUCUAGCUGUGUUGGACCCCCUCUCACGAAGUGGGAGAGUGGUAUAUAUAGUGGGGAGUGUAAAACAGCCGUUGGGGACACUUUAAGUCACACAGGGCUCGGACGUCCGGCAGUUUACGGAAGUCCGGUUGUCCGCAAGGGGUCGGACGUCCGACAGGGGUCGGUCGUCCGAGAGUUGUAGAUAUGUCUGGAAACACUGUGAGUUGAACAGGGACCGGACGUCCGGAGAAGGCCGGAAAUUCGAGUUAUUUGACUCAACUUUUUCUGGUGCAAGGUUCCGGAUUUCUGAAAGGGGACGGACGUACGGCCCUCGGACGUCCGGAGGGAGCCGGAAAUCCGAGUUAUAGAGCUCACGUUCUUCUCGUGCAGGGCUCCGGAUUUCCGAAGCUGGUCGGUCGACCGGCCCUCGGAUGUCCGGAGGGAGCGGGAAAUCCGAGUUAUAGGGCUCAAUUUCUUCUGGUGCAGAGCUCCGGAUUUCCGAAGCUUGUCGGUCGUCCGACCCUCGGACGUCCGGAGGGAGCUGGAAGUCCGAGGCAAUAGACCUAUUUUGAGAUAGGAGCAGAGUAGAGAAUAUGUGGUAUUGAGCAGAAUAGUGAAGNNNNNNNNNNUCGGAAAUCCGAGUUAUUCGACUCAACUUCUUCUGGUGCAAGGUUCCGGAUUUCCGAAAGGGGAUGAACGUCUGGCCCUCGGACGUCCGGAAGGAGCCGGAAAUUCGAGUUAUAGAGCUCACGUGCUUCUGGUGCAGGGCUCCGGAUUUCCGAAGCUGGUCGGUCGACCGGCCCUCGGAUGUCCGGAGGAAGCCGGAAAUCCGAGUUAUAGGGCUCAAUUUCUUCUCGUGCAGAGCUCCGGAUUUCCGGCGCCUGUCGGUCGUCCGACCCUCGGACAUCCGGAGGGAGCUCGAAGUCCGAGGCAAUAGACCUAUUUUUAGAUAGGAGCAGAGUAGAGAAUAUGUGGUAUUGAGCAGAAUAGUGAAGAUGUGGUAUGAGCAAGUUCAUAGCAAAACCUGUGAUCCCCUCUUAAUAGUGCGAGAUCCCUAUACUCAAGAAUAGUAAACUCAAAAUGAUAGUCUACAUCAUCUUUUCUCCAUCCUGAGCCUUCUUGACAUAUAAAUCCCGAUCUUCUCAAACCACCUUUGGCAUAUAAUUCUCAAUCUACUAAAGUACUUGCCAUCCUGAGAUACACUCAACAAAUAGGAUUAGUUUCCUAUGUAUGUGUUGUCAUUAACACCAAAAGUCGAUUAGGGGCAUAUCAUGCACUUUUAGAGGCCCUAACUGAAUUAGAGCUUUUCUUCAUACUUACAAGCAGAUUGAAAAUGCAAACACCCACUCUCAACUUCAGGAGGAUCUCAUUGAGCACCAUUGGCAAACAGCUCGGCAGUAACACAUUUCAUUUUUUCAUUCAUGUGGGAUUUGUAUACGGGACAAGUUUUGUAUUGAAUUAUUUAGUUUGCUUCGGUGAUUUGAAUAAUUAUUGUACUUUGGAUGAUUAUUGUAUUGUAAUAUUGACAUCUUUCUUAUAUUGCACAUUAGUAAUUUCAAUUUACGGGGUUUUUGAUUUGCGGGUCUACGCGGCAGCGUCUGAGGAGACCCCGCAUAGCCGACCCGUAAAAGAGCAUCUUCUCUGAAUAUCCUUUUUUACGGGUCUAUUUUGCAACGUUCGGGCGACGAAGGGGAAGUGGCUAGAAUUGUUAAUAGUCAUGUAUAUGUCAAUGAACUACAAUUUAUCUCUAUUGAAGGCGACACAAAGACGUGGAGUAUUUGAGCUCGAGCUAGAACGCACCCGUGUGAACAGUAAAAAACAUUUAAAAAAACUGUUUUUUGUGAUAAACUUUGACAAAAGUUUUAAAUGCUUGCAAAUUUUAAUUAUAAGGACACAUUUGAGUAAGCCGUGACAAAAAACGAUGCUCUCAAAAUGCUAUUUUUCAAAGCAUUUUGAAACACUAAUUUUGUUUUUUUUCACGCCUUACACAAAUAUGAUCUCAUGAUGAAAAUUUGUAAGUACUUAGAACUUUUGUCAAAGUUCAUCACAAAAAAAAAGAAUGUAUUAAAACAUUUUUUUUUCAUUUUUACUGUUCACGCGAAUAUAUUUGAGCUCGAGCUCAAAAGGGUACUUUCCGCGACACAACCGCUUCUCCAAUACUCCUUCCCAACUAUCUUUGUAAGCAUGCACCAUGGAAAGGUCGACACUUGUUAGUUAUGGUUAAUUCUCGAACGAGUCAUGCUAGAUAAUGCAUGACAAGCGAUCAUCCUAACGAAGUAUUUCCGCGUGCGAAACCACGGUAUGGGACCAAAGCCCACGAUUUUGUCGGAUAAUCAAUAUGCUUACGCUCCCGCUCGUUGUUGCAUAAAACGAGAGAUUCCUUAAUUGUGUUUGUCAUUGGCGACUAAAGUUUGAUGACCAUAAAGUUAUUUUCUCACUAUCAAUGAAUCGACGAGGCCUAGGUCGCCCAAGGGCAUGAUAAACUCAGAGAGUACGUUGCAUGGGUCGGUGUUGGUUGGCGCAAUUAUCAACACAAAUGAGGCUUUUCCCGCAAAAAAAAGAAAAAAAACAACACGGAUGAGGCUGCUGGAGAAGCCGGACACGGUUACAUAUAUGCUCAUAUGCACAGUGAUGACGACAGGGGGACCAGGGCCAUGGCCCCCCUAACAUCAGCCAUUUGAUGGUAAUUUGAUAUGAACGGUGCAAAAAUUGAUCACUAUUUGCAACUAAAAAAAUAUUAUUAUUUUUAGUUGCUUGGUGUUGGAAAUAUUCCCUAGAGGCAAUAAUAAAUUAGUUAUUAUUAUAUUUCUUUGUUCAUGAUAAUCGUUUAUUAUCCAUGCUAUAAUUGUAUUGAUUGGAUACACAGUGCAUGUGUGGAUACAUAGACAAAACACUGUCCCUAGUAAGCCUCUAGUUGACUAGCUCGUUGAUCAAAGAUGGUCAAGGUUUCCUGACCAUAGGCAAGUGUUGUCACUUGAUAAUGGGAUCACAUCAUUAGGAGAAUCAUGUGAUGGACUAGACCCAAACUAAUAGACGUAGCAUGUUGAUCGUGUCAUUUUGUUGCUACUGUUUUCUGCGUGUCAAGUAUUUGUUCCUAUGACCAUGAGAUCAUAUAACUCACUGACAACGGAGGAAUGCUUUGUGUAUCAAACGUCGCAACGUAACUGGGUGACUAUAAAGAUGCUCUACAGGUAUCUCCGAAGGUGUUCGUUGAGUUAGUAUGGAUCGAGACUGGGAUUUGUCACUCUGUGUGACGGAGAGGUAUCUCGGGGCCCACUCGGUAAUACAACAUCAUACACAAGCCUUGCAAGCAAUGUGACUUAGUGUAAGUUGCGGGAUCUUGUAUUACGGAACAAGUAAAGAGACUUGCCGGUAAACGAGAUUGAAAUAGGUAUGCGGAUACUGACGAUCGAAUCUCGGGCAAUUAACAUACCGAAGGACAAAGGGAAUGACAUACGGGAUUAUAUGAAUCCUUNNNNNNNNNNNNNNNNNNNNNNNNNNNNNNNNNNNNNNNNNNNNNNNNNNNNNNNNNNNNNNNNNNNNNNNNNNNNNNNNNNNNNNNNNNNNNNNNNNNNUAGGAUUGGAGGAGGACUCCUCCUCCCCUUGGUGGCGCAGCCCUUGGGGCUCCUUGAGCCUCAAGGCAAGCCUCCCCUCCAUCCUCCUAUAUAUAUGGAGCAAUUAGGGCUGAUUUGAGACAACUUUUUCAAGGCAGCCCGACCACAUACCUCCACGGUUUUACCUCUAGAUCGCGUCUCUGCGGAGCUCGGGCGGAGCCCUGCUGAGAUUAGAUCACCACCAACCUCCGUAGCGCCGUCACGCUGCCGGAGAACUCAUCUACCUCUCCGUCUCUCUUGCUGGAUCAAGAAGGCCGAGAUCAUCGUCGAGCUGUACGNNNNNNNNNNUUGAACGCGGAGGUGCCGUCCGUUCGGCACUAGAUCGGAGCGGAUCGUGGGACGGAUCGCGGGAUGGUUCGUGGGACAGUUCGCGGGGCGGAUCAAGGGACGUGAGGACGUUCCACUACAUCAACCACGUUCACUAACGCUUCUGCUGUGCGAUCUACAAGGGUACGUAGAUCGGAAAUCCCCUCUCGUAGAUGGACAUCACCAUGAUAGGUCUUCGUGCGCGUAGGAAAUUUUUUGUUUCCCAUGCGACGUUCCCCAACAGUGGAAUCAUGAGCUAGGUUCAUGCGUAGAUGUCUUCUCGAGUAGAACACAAAAGUUUUUGUGGGCGGUGAUGUGCGUUUUGCUGCCCUCCUUAGUCUUUUCUUAUUUCCGCGGCAUUGUUGGAUCGAAGGGGCUUGGACCGACAUUACUCGUACGCUUAGGAGAGACUGGUUUCAUCGCUAUGAGUAACUCCGUUGCUCAAAGAUGACUGGCAAGUGUCGGUUUCUCCAACUUUAGUUGAAUCGGAUUUGACCGAGGAGGUCCUUGGAUGAGGUUAAAUAGCAAUUCAUAUAUCUCCGUUGUGGUGUUUGCGUAAAUAAGAUGCGAUCCUACUAGAUACCCAUGGUCAUCACGUAAAACAUGCAACAACAAUUAGAGGACGUCUAACUUGUUUUUGCAGGGUAUGCUUGUGAUGUGAUAUGGCCAACGAUGUGAUGUGAUAUAUUGGAUGUAUGAGAUGAACAUGUUGUAAUAGUUAAUAUCGACUUGCACGUCGAUGGUACGGCAACCGGCAGGAGCCAUAGGGUUGUCUUUAAACUANNNNNNNNNNNNNNNNNNNNNNNNNNNNNNNNNNNNNNNNNNNNNNNNNNNNNNNNNNNNNNNNNNNNNNNNNNNNNNNNNNNNNNNNNNNNNNNNNNNNGAAUAUGUAGGAUUCAAUAUGGGCAUCCAGGUCCCGCUAUUGGAUAUUGACCGAGGAGUCACUCGGGUCAUGUCUACAUAGUUCUCGAACCCGCAGGGUCUGCACACUUAAGGUUCGACGUUGUUUUAUGCGUAUUUGAGUUAUAUGGUUGGUUACCGAAUGUUGUUCGGAGUUCCGGAUGAGAUCACGGACGUCACGAGGGUUUCCGUAAUGGUCUGGAAACGAAGAUUGAUAUAUAGGAUGACUUCAUUUGGUUACCGGAAGGUUUUCGGGCAUUACCGGUAAUGUACCGGGAAUGACGAAUGGGUUUCGGAUCUUCACCGGGAGGGGGGACCACCCACCCGAGAGGGCCCAAGGACCUUGGGGUGGCGCACCAAGUAGGUGGGGUCAACCCAAGGCUGUCUUGCACAAGAGAAAGAAAAAAAAACCAAAAGAAGAGAAAAAAAGGAAAGGUGGGAAAAGAGAGAAGGACUCCACCUUCCAAUCCNNNNNNNNNNAAAUGUUGUUCGGAGUCCCGGAUGAGAUCACGGACGUCACGAGGGUUUCCGGAAUGGUCCGGAAACGAAGAUUGAUAUAUAGGAUGACCUCAUUUGAUUACCGGAAGGUUUUCGGAGUUACCGGGAAUGUACCGGGAAUGAUGAAUGGGUUCCAGGAGUUCACCGGGAGGGGGCAACCCACCCCGGGGAAGCCCAUAGGCCUUGAGGGUGGUGCACCAGCCCUUAGUGGGCUGGUGGGACAGCCCAAAAGGGCCCUAUGCGCAUUGGAAGAAAAAUCAAAGAGAAAGAAAAAAAAGGAGGAGGUGGGAAGGGAAGGAAGGACUCCCACCCACCAAACCAAGUCCAACUCGGUUUGGGGGGGAGACCUUCCCCCCUUGGCUCGGCUGACCCCCUUGGGGCUCCUUGAGCCCCAAGGCAAGGCCCCCCCUCUCCCACCUAUAUAUACGGAGGUUUUACGGCUGAUUUGAGACGACUUUUCCACGGCAGCCCGACCACAUACCUCCACGGUUUUUCCUCUAGAUCGUGUUUCUGCGGAGCUCGGGCGGAGCCCUGCUGAGACGAGAUCAUCACCAACCUCCGGAGCGCCGUCACGCUGCCGGAGAACUCUUCUACCUCUCCGUCUCUCUUGCUGGAUCAAGAAGACCGAGAUCAUCUUGAGCUGUACGUGUGCUGAACGCGGAGGUGCCGUCCGUUCGGUACUAGAUCGUGGGACUGAUCGCUGGAUUGUUCGCGGGGCGGAUCGAGGGACGUGAGGACGUUCCACUACAUCAACCGCGUUCACUAAUGCUUCUGCUGUAUGAUCAACAAGGGUACGUAGAUCACUCAUCCCCUCUCGUAGAUGGACAUCACCANNNNNNNNNNNNNNNNNNNNNNNNNNNNNNNNNNNNNNNNNNNNNNNNNNNNNNNNNNNNNNNNNNNNNNNNNNNNNNNNNNNNNNNNNNNNNNNNNNNNUUCGCACAUGCAAGCGACCGAGCAGCAACGGGCCGGCCCAUAUAACUCUUCCAGCACCUCGGUUUUGGGAACCUUCUAACAGUCUCAACCGUUUUUUUUUGUUUUGUAAAACUUCUAGAAGAUUUCCUGAACCGGUUUUUUUCUUUUUUCUUUUCUUUAUUCUUUUUCCUUUUUGGUCUCUAUUUCAAACAUUGUUCUGAAUUUUCAAAAAUAUUCGGGAUUUCCAAGAACUGCUCAUAAAUUCGAAAAAAAUUACUUUGUAAAAAAAAGGUUCCGGAUUUUCAAAAAAAGUUCUGGAUUUUAAGAAAAUGUUCUGCAUUUUCGAAAACUGUUCGGGAUUUUCAAAAAUUGUUCUCAAUAUUCAAUCAAUGUUCGUGAUUUAAAAAAUUGUUCGGUUUCCAAAUUUGUUCAGAAUUUUUCAUAAUUGUUCUUGGUUACAUAAUUUGUUCUCAGUAUUCAAAAAAUCUUCAUGCUUUGAAAAAUUGUUUUGCGCUUCAAAAUUUGUUCCUGGUUUCAAAAUUUGUUCUCAAGAUUAAAAAAAUGUUCAUGCAUAAAAAUUUGUUCACGCUUUCAAAUUUUUCGGAGUUUUUCAAAAUUGUUCUCCGUUUGAAAAUUCUGUCCUCAAGAUUCAAAAAUAUUCGUGCUCUAAAACAUUGUUCGUGGUUCCAAAUUUGUUCAUGAUUUUUUAAAAUUAUUCUCAAGAUUAAAAAAAUGUUCAUGCUUUAAAAAUUUAUUCGCGCUUUCAAAUCUGUUCUCCGUUUGAAAAAAUGUUCGGGUUUUCAAGAAAUGAUGGGAAAUUCAAGAUUUGUUUGUUUUCAUAAAAAACUAAAAAAUGGGAGAAGUAAAGAAUAAACUAACAAAAAAGAAAUGAAAUAACAAAUAAAAAUAAACAGAAAAAUGGAGAAUGUUAAUUAUCAGAAUUUUGUGAGAGGAUAAAAAAACUCGGCCGGCCCAGUCGGGGCGACCCCCCUGUGCAUGCGAGGACUCCAUCGACAUGAGGACAAAAAAAACCUUUUUCCUACUUUAUAUUAUAAAGCAACCACACCAAACAUCCGAACAUCAUACAAAAGAAGUCUGAAGCGCUAAUAAAUUCAGCUGAGACACAGCACAACACACCCCACUCGGCAUGAGGGCCAGCUAUCUUACAAAUCAACGAUCAAGGGAGAAAAAAAAAGACGUCAACAGAUGCGCUCGGCUAUUUUGAUUUCCCUGUAGCAAUGGUUGACGGGAGGUGCCGCAAAGAGCGGCAGGUAGGAGCUCUCAGAAUUGAUUCUCAAAAAAAAAUGGCUGAGAAUCUGGAGACCUCCUAUUGGGCGCGUGGGGCGCUGGGAGGAGUGGCAGCGCGCAACCAUCNNNNNNNNNNNNNNNNNNNNNNNNNNNNNNNNNNNNNNNNNNNNNNNNNNNNNNNNNNNNNNNNNNNNNNNNNNNNNNNNNNNNNNNNNNNNNNNNNNNNCUGUGCAUCGUAACCUUUCAGGAGGACAACGGUCAUACGUUUUAAUACACCAUUAUUAGCAUUUAAGGCAUAUGGUUACGUGUAACGUAGGCAUUUAUUCGCCACUAUUCCACCCGUGUCCACCGGCCGUUGUGAAAGGCAGCGCACUCUAUAUAAGCCGCUCUUCCCCACUGGUGCAGGGGUUGGCAUUUACUGUAAUCCUAUAUUCCACUCGACACUAAGCUCCCAACAGCACUGAGACGUAGGGCUUUUACCUCCACCGUAGAGGGGCCUGAACUCAUACAACCUCGCCGUAGCUAAGGCUCUGCCCAUCCUUUCGUACCCUACACAUCUACUGUCGGACUUAUACCCACGACAUACAUUUAUUUUAAGACAGAGGGAAUAUGUAUGAGGAGGACCAGGUGCUGCUAAAACAGGUUGGGGAGGGCCAAGUGUUGGGGAACGUCGCAUGGGAAACAAAAAAAUUCCUACGCGCACGAAGACCUAUCAUGGUGAUGCCCAUCUACGAGAGGGGAUUUCCGAUCUACGUACCCUUGUAGAUCGCACNNNNNNNNNNAGACUUAUACCCACGACAGUUGGCGCCCACCUUGGGGCAGGCGUCUAAGCGACUUCCGGCGAGUUUGCAACUUCAUCUUUUCAUCAUGUCGUCCGGCGGAGAUUUAUGCAUGGGUCGGGAGAUCCUCUUCGGCGCACUCUCCUUCAUCGUCGACGACUCGGCAUGGCUUCGGGAUGCGUCUCUCGACGUCGAGGCGCUCCCCAGUAGCGGGGCUACCCACUUCCGUGCCGGUGCCCGCGGCGUCCUUCUUCUCCAACAGUCGGCCCCGGUGUCGACCUUCGCCCCCGUCACGCGCCGCAACAAGCGGUCCCGCCGUCCGUGGCUUCAGUGUUGGGUGCAACACGCCCAGGCGCGAUAGAGCGCGUCUUCUCAAGUGGUGGUCCUCGAGUCGGUUGUGGUCGCGCCGCCGUCCCAGUGCUUGGACUCAGUUCCGACUGAGUUACCUUCCGAGUAGUUGGGUCGCGGGCCUACAACCGAAGUUCUCAUGGCCAAUUCCCAUGAAAGUCCCCGUCGGACUGGUCGGAACGAGCACGAGGUCGGCGAGUCAUCCGGCGCUCGCCGUCAACCCCACCGUUCUGCCAGUCGACGCACUCGUCAGAGCAACGUCGAGGUGUUCCGCACACUCGUCCUCAACCUGGCUGCAGCUGCCAAGAUAGUCGAUUCCCUCCAACGACUGAUUCAGAGGCUGGUAGAGGGAUCGAGCAGAUCCGUGCCCUAUUGCACACGGCGCAGCAGCAGAAUUCGGCGGUCUCCCAGUCGCACAACAGGAUCCACAACAGUUCUGUUCACGCGAACACGCAUCAGUCGGUUUACAACCCCCACUCUCAUCAGCGACGCAGAGGGGGCAGCCGUUCCACGAAUCCCGAAGAUCGUCGCCGUUCACGCACCCCUCCGCGGGGUGGGCCUUACGGGCCCCGACAUCACGAUGAUCGGCGUUCAGUCGGUGACACGUAUGAUCCAAGGCCCGACGCAAGAGGGUACAUCGCCCAGAGGAAGGUCGACAGGAGUCGAGCCCACCGUGAUGGUCACGAUAGAGACCGUCCGAGUGGAAGCAGGACCAUCGUCUCUGGCCCCGAGUGCUUCAGUCGGGCCAUCCGUUCAGCUGACAUCCCUCCCAACUUCCGAUUGGCGACGGGGAUCAACAAGUUCACAGGAUAAUCCAAGCGAGAAACGUGGCUGGACGAUUACCGAGUGGCGGUCCAGAUCGGUGGCGGAGAUGACCAGGUCGCCAUGAAACAUCUCCCCCUGAUGCUCGACGGCUCGACACGAGCGUGGCUGAACCAGUUGGCUCCAUCAAGCAUCUACAGCUGGGCAGAUCUGUCCCGAGUGUUCAUCAGGACCUUCGAGGUUACGUGCAAACGCCCUGCUGGUCUCGUGGAGCUCCAACACUGCGUCCAGAAGCAGAAUGAGCCCCUGCGCGAUUUCAUCCAACGCUGGACGACCCUCUACCACAUGGUGGAGAACGUCACAGAGCAUCAAGCAGUCUGCCCCUUCAAGGCAGGCGUGCGGUACAGAGAUCUGUACCUGAAGUUCGGUCGGAAAGGCGACAUCUCCAUGAGCAAGAUGAUGGAGAUAGCCGCACGCUAUGCAAAUGGCGAAGAAGAGGACCGCAUACGUAGCGGCAAGCACAAGGCAGUCGCCGAUGGAGAUGGGAACAACAAUCGGAAGCAAAAGCAGAAAGCUCCGUCCACUCCGUAGGCAGAGGCAGCUGCCGUUACCAAUGCCAAGUUCAAGGGCAAGGGGAAAGCUCAGUACACCCCCAAGAAGAAGCAGUUCGGGAACUCCAUCCUGGAUCAACCAUGCCCAAUCCACACGAAGAUGGAUGAAGAAGGCAACGCCAUAUUCCCGAAGCACACCACUCGGCAAUGUCGCCUCCUGAUCCAAGGGUUCGGCGAAGGGCAACCGAGUGAAAAGGACAACGAGCAGGAUGAUGAGGACAAGGAGGAUCCGUUCCCCCAAGUCCAUGCAACAUUGAUGAUUUUUGCUGACGUGGAAAGCAAGAGUCGACUGAAGCUGGUGAACAGGGAGGUGAACAUGGCCACUCCAACCAACCCCACGUUCCUCAAAUGGUCUCAGACUGCGAUCACCUUUGAUCAGUCGGAUCAUCCAGCACACGUGCCCACCCCCGGGGAGGCAGGAUCUGGUAGUCGACCCGGUGGUGGAAGGAGUCCGACUGCGCAAAGUCCUCAUGGAUGGCGGCAGCGGCUUGAACAUCAUGUAUGCUGACACUCUCAAGGGGAUGGGCAUUCCGAUGUGCAAACUCAGCGAGAGCAGCAUGCAGUUCCACAGAGUCGUCCCAGGACGAAAGUCCAAGUCACUCGGUCAGAUCGCGUUGGACAUCGUUUUCGGCUCCGACAAGAACUUCCGCAAGGAAAAGCUGACAUUCGAGGUGGUGGACUUCCAGAGCGCAUACCAUGCGAUUCUGGGCCGUCCGGCGUAUGCGCGUUUCAUGGCCCGUCCAUGUUACGUGUAUUUGAAGCUGAAGAUGCCGGGUCCCAAAGGCGUGAUCACGAUCACAGGCAAUCGGCAGCGGGCCGAGGAGUGUCUGCAGCAGGGGUCGAGGAUUGCCGAUCAGCAGAUGGCUAUCCUCGAGCUGGAUGAGUACAAGAAAACAGCCGACCCCGCUGACUUGAUGUGUUCAAAGAAGCCAGCUUCGGAGUCCGCAUUCCAGUCGGCAGGCGAUACGAAGAAAGUCAGCAUCCACCCGACGGACGACACUGCCGCCCCGACGAACAUCUCCGCCACCCUUGAUCCAAAAUAGGAAACCGAGCUCAUCCAAUUCCUCCGUGAGAACUGGGACAUUUUCGCAUGGAAGCCCGCUGACAUGCCAGGUGUACCCAGGGAGUUGGCUGAGCACCGACUGCAUGUGGAUCCUGCUGCUUGGCCCGUCCGAGAACGCCUGCGUCGGUCCGCCGCGCACAAAAGGAAGGCAAUCGGAGAAGAGGUGGCUAAACUUUUGGCAGCCAACUUCACUCGCGAGGUACACCACUCCGAGUGGCUCGCCAAUGUUGUCAUGGUGCCCAAGAAGGACAAGUCCCUCCGUAUGUGCAUCGACCUCAAGCAUCUCAAUAAGGUCUGCCCAAAAGAUCAUUUCCCGCUCCCCCGCAUUGAUCAAAUUGUCGAUUCGACUGCGGGUUGCGAGCAUUUAUCAUUCCUUGAUGCCUAUUCGGGCUAUCAUCAGAUCCGCCUGUAUGGUCCGAAUGAAUUAAAAACAGCCUUCGUCACCCCAUUCGGGUGUUUCUGCUACAUCACUAUGCCAUUCGGUUUUCAGAAUGCAGGAGCAACUUUUAUGCGCAUGAUCCAGAAAUGCCUCCUUGACCAGAUCGGUCGAAAUGUGGAGGCAUAUAUGGACGAUAUCGUAGUCAAGUCACGCAAAGGUUCCGACCUGCUGACUGACUUGGCAGAAACAUUCGCCAACCUUCGUAGGUACGAUAUCAAGCUCAACCCUGCCAAGUGUUCAUUCGGUGUUCCCAGCGGAAAGUUACUCGGUUUCUUCGUUUCCGAACGAAGAAUCGAUGUCAACCCCGAAAAGAUCGGGACCAUCUCCGAAUGGAGCGGCCGGUCAGAAUACAUGAUGUUCAAAGGCUCACAGGUUGCCUAGCGGCUUUGAGCAGGUUUAUCGCUCGACUCGGCGAGAAGGCGUUACCUCUGUACCGACUCAUGAAGAAAUCAGAUACUUUCGAGUGGACAGACGAAGCCCAGAUUGCAUUCGACGACCUCAAAGCCCUGCUUUCCACCCAGCCGGUUCUUACUGCCCCGCUCAGUAAAGAACCCCUUCUUCUGUACAUCGCGGCUACAAAUCAAGUCGUCAGCACUAUUCUCACAGUCGAACGUGAAUAAGAAGGCAAAGCGUACAAGGUUCAGCGGCCAGUAUAUUAUGUCUCCGAAGUCCUGACUCCUUCCAAGCAGAGGUAUCCCCAUUAUCGAAAGCUUAUUUAUGGGAUCUACAUGACUGCAAAGAAGGUGGCUCACUAUUUCCAAGACCACUCGGUGUCUAUCGUUUCUGAUGCUUCGUUGUCGGAAAUCCUCCACAAGCGAGACGCAUCAGGCCGAGUGGCGAAGUGGGCUAUGGAGAUGUUAUACUGCGACAUCAAGUUCGAAGCCAAGAAGGCUAUAAAGUCUCAAGCUCUGGCUGACUUCAUAGCAGAAUGGGUAGAACAGCAGCAACCGACUCACAUCUACUCGGCUCAUUGGACUAUGUUCUUCGAUGGGUCCAAGAUGUUGAAUGGCUCCGGCGCUGGCGUAGUAAUCAUAUCGCCAAAAGGUGAUAAACUUAAGUAUGUGUUGCAGAUACAUUUCGAUUCCUCCAACAAUGAGGCAGAGUAUGAAGCUCUCCUUUAUGGAUUGCGCAUGGCCAUCUCACUCGGCGUCCGUCGCCUGAUGGUCUAUGGCGAUUCGGAUUUGGUGGUUAAUCAAGUGAUGAUGGAGUGGGAUGUCAGGAACCCCACCAUGACUGCAUACUGCAACGCAGUAAGGAAGCUCGAGAAGAAGUUUAAAGGUCUGGAACUUCACCAUGUUCCACGACUAAAAAACCAAGAUGCUGAUGAGCUGGCAAAACUCGGAUCCACUCGGAGACCAGUCCCGAGUGAUGUAUGCCUCGAGCACCUGCAUCUCCCUUCGGUGAAAGAAGAUCCUUUUACAGAGGAACCGGUACAACCGAAGAGUUCAACAGAUCCGACUGAAGUCGAGGUCCCCGCUAUGGUUGAUUUGAUCAUGGAGAUUCUUGCUAUCAUCCCCGAUUGGACAGUGACGUUCAUUGCGUACAUCCUAAGGCAAGAAUUACCAGAAGACGAAGUCCAAGCAAGGCAGAUCGUCCGCAGGUCGAAGUCCUUCACCGUCAUUGACGACCAGUUGUACAAAGAAAGUGUUUCAGGAGUCCUUCAGCGAUGCAUCUCCCCUGAGGAGGGACAGUUAAUCCUGGAAGAAAUUCACUCGGGAACCUGCGGUCAUCAUGCCUCUUCAAGAGCAAUCGUUGCCAAAACAUUCAGAGCCGGUUUCUUCUGGCUGUAGGCGAAUGAAAUGGCAAAGGAUAUGGUCGACCGAUGCGAAGGCUGUCAGUUCUAUUCGAACAAGUCCCACAAGCCAACAUCUGCGCUGAAGACAAUCCCUCUUGUUUGGCCGUUCGCAGUGUGGGGAUUAGAUACGGUCGGUCCAUUCAGAACAGGCCAAGGGGGAUUCACUCAUCUGUUGGUGGCAGUCGAUAAGUUCACCAAGUGGAUUGAAGCUAAGCCCAUCAAGAAGCUCGACGCCCUUACGGCCAUCAAAUUUGUCAGAGACAUCAUCUCUAGAUUCGGAGUCCCGCACAACAUAAUCACUGACAAUGGCACAAACUUUGACUCGGACAGAUUCAAAGGUUUUUGCACAGGCCAAGGUAUCCGAGUGGAUUUUGCAUCUGUGGCGCACCCCCAAACCAACGGGCAAGCAGAGCGGGUGAAAGGACUUAUUCUUCAAGGGUUGAAGCCUCGACUCCUACGAGAAGUUGGACAUGCCGCCGGCGCAUGGGUCACCGAGCUGCCUUCAGUGUUGUGGGGCCUCCGCACAACUCCGAAUAGAUCUACAGGGCGAUCCCCGUUCUUUCUCGUUUAUGGAGCAGAGGCGGUCCUUUCGAGUGACUUGCUUCACAACUCUCCACGAGUCGAACUCUUCUCUGAAGCCGAAGCAGAGCAAGCCAGGCAAGACGGAGUGGAUCUACUGGAAGAAGAGCGCGAGAUGGCACUGACUCGCUCAACUAUUUAUCAACAAGAUCUGCGGCGAUUUCACGCGUGACACGUCAGGAGUCGCACAUUCCAAGCAGGCGACCUCGUGCUCCGAGUGGACCAGCAGAGGCCUCACAAGUUGGCUCCCGCCUCGGAAGGACCCUUCAUCAUCUCUAAGGUGCUAAACAACGGAGCAUAUCGACUCUACAACCUCGACAGGGAAACGGACGAGCCGCGAGCAUGGAACGGAGAUCUCCUGAAGCGCUUCUACACGUGACCGCCGACGGAGGAAAUGUGAAGAACAAGUAUCAUUGAAGUAAUACAAAGCAGACUGAUUUUUUGCAGGUCCAAAAUUCUUCCGCGUUUGCAGACUCCGGUCUAAAAAACUCUCUCCGAGUGUGCGCUAACAGCCGCACUCGGGGACUUAGCUGCGACCCAGAGUCGCCUAAGUAAAAAACUCUCUCCGAGUGUGCGCUAACAGCCACACUCGGGGACUUAGCUGCGACCCAGAGUCGCCUAAGUACAAACUCGCUCCGAGUGCGCACCAAAAGCCGCACUCGGGGACUUAGCUGCGAUCCAGAAUCGCCUAAGUACAAACUCGCUCCGAGUGUGCACUAACAGCCGCACUCCGGGACUUAGCUGCGAUUCAGAAUCGCCUAAGUACAAAACUCGCUCCGAGUGCGCACUAAAAGCCGCACUCGGAGACUUAGCUGCGAUCCAGAAUCGCCUAAGUAAAAAAGCUUCCUUCGAGUGUAUCCUCGAGAUCCACUCGGAGGCUUAGCAGACUCUCAUUGAGGCUCAUGUGGAUGUGAAGACAACUGACAACUACAUGAGUAUCNNNNNNNNNNNNNNNNNNNNNNNNNNNNNNNNNNNNNNNNNNNNNNNNNNNNNNNNNNNNNNNNNNNNNNNNNNNNNNNNNNNNNNNNNNNNNNNNNNNNAGUUAGGAUAGCAUCUUAGACUAGCAUCUUAGCAGCAUCUUAGACUAGCAUCUUAGCAUAUGCUUGGCUGGCUAGCAGGCUAUAAAUAUGUAUCCCCAACCCCUCAGGUUGGCAUGGCAUUGUGUGAGAAAUAAACCAACGAAAAUUGUUCCAACUCUCCUAGUGUCAUCCACAACUAUCAAUCCUCAGGCUGAAAGGUCUAACAAGUGGUAUCAGAGCCUCGUUAUCUUGUACCCUGAGCAUUUCCUGCUCACCUCUCUCACCGGCAGCUGAGCAGCCUAAGCCGGUAGCAGCAGCUGCUCCGACUGCCCCUAGUUACCUCCCUCCCUCCGGACUGUCGAGCAGCAACUCGUCAGCAACAGCCUCCUCUUCACGCAACAGCCCCCCUGCAGCGAGCCAUGUCUGCAGGUCGCUCUUAGCACACGGCUACCUCGAGCAUACGGCGCCGGCAGGAGGCCGAGCGCGCCGUGGCAGAGGAGCGUGAGCGAGCAGCUGUAGCAGCAGCUGCUGCGGCAGCAAGGGUGUCGAGGCUGGCUGCAGCGGAGCUGGCAGCAGCCAAGGUGGAGGUAGAAGCAGUAGCAGCAGCGGAGGCAGCACGUGAGGCUACGGCGGAUGCCAAGGCACUCCGCGUCGGCUCCGGCAGCUCCAACGGCUCCGCGCCUGCGGACGACGGCGCCGACGCAGACCGAGCCAAAGUGGCGCAAGAGCAGACGGCGCAGUGGGCAGCCGAGCACGCCCGCGCUCCAGGUGGAGGUGCGCACGGCGACGGCGGCUGCAACGACCAGGACCGCGGCCUCUACGAGGUUCGGACUGUGGUCAGGGAUGUUGGUCCCAGUGUUGGGUGGCCUACCCUCACUAAAACCAACUACGUCGAGUGGGCCGCGAUCAUGAAGAUCAGGCUCCAGGUGCGGCGGCUGUGGGAGGCAGUCCAGGACAGCAACGUCGACCACCAAGAGGAUCGACAGGCGCUGGACGCCCUCAUCGCCGCAGUCCCGCUCGAGAUGCAGUUCUCGCUUUCCAACAAGCGGACUGCCAAGGAGGCUUGGGACGCCAUCGCCACGGCACGCAUCGGCAGCGACCGUGCUCGCAAGUCCACACUGCAGGCACUUCGUAAGGAGUGGGAGAGCCUGGCCUUCAAGCCAGGUGAGGACGUUGAUGACUUUGCUCUCCGUCUCAACACUCUGCUGCAGAAGAUGGUGAAGUUCGGCGAUGCCACCUACACCAAGGAGAGAGCUGUCGAGAAGCUUUUCCGGUGCAUUCCCGAGAAGUACAAGCAGAUGGCUCACUCGAUCGAGUCUUUGCUGGACCUCUCCACGAUGACGAUCGAGGAGGCGAUAGGUCGCCUCAAGGUCGUCGACACCGACGAGCCACAACCUCCCUCGGGAGCAGUGGGAUGCCAGUCUUGGUGACAGGAAGAAGGGGGAGCCUUCUUCCACGACGGGCGGCCGCAAGCGUGGCAAGCAGCGCAAGGCGCGAAGAGGCCCCCCGGGCAAGGCACAAGGACGUGCCGAAGGUGACGCCCGCGGAGGCGCCAAGGACGGCGUCGCUGGCAAGCCCAAGCCGGCACAGGACAACAGUUGCCACAACUGUGGCCGGCUUGGCCAUUGGGCCAAUGAGUGUUGACAACCACGACAAGGCCGGGCUCACGUCGCACAGGCGGAGGAGACGGCUCUGUUCAUGGCGCAUGCAAGCAUCGAGCUACCUUCAGCGACACCAGUCGCAAAGGCUCUCCUCCACCUCGAUGAGCCAAAAGCACACGCUCUUCUCGGCGAUGGCUCCGGGAAGGACUAGACUGCGGGAUGGUGCCUCGAUACCGGCGCCACCCACCACAUGACCGGUCGAAGGGAAUUCUUCGCCGAGCUCGACUCCGACGCGCGAGGCUCCGUCAAGUUUGGGGAUGCCUCAGCUGUGGAAAUUAAGGGCGUCGGCUCCGUCAUCUUCACCACCAAGACGGGAGAGCAUCGGCUGCUCACCGGUGUCUACUACAUCCCCGCGCUAAGGAACUCCAUCAUCAGCUUGGGACAGCUGAAUGAGAACGGCUCACGCGUGCUGAUUGAGCAUGGGGUCCUACGCAUCUAGGAUCGCCAGCGUCGCCUUCUCGCCAAGGUACCCAGAGGUGAAAAUCGACUCUACGUCCUUGAUGCGCAGGUGGCACAAUCGGUCUGUCUCGCUGUCUGUCGGGACGACGAGGUGUGGCAAUGGCAUGAGCGCUUUGGGCACCUUCAUUUUGAGGCCCUGAAGCGUCUAAGUGCCAAGGAGAUGGUGCGAGGCCUGCCAUGCCUCGACCAUGUGGAGCAGUUUUGCGACAUCUGUGUGCUGACGAAGCAGAGACGACUCCCCUUUCCCUAGCAGGUGAGUUUUCGGGCCAAGGAGAGGCUGGAGCUCGUGCACGGAGAUCUGUGCGGCCCGAUGACGCCAACCACACCAGGAGGUCGACGCUACUUCCUGCUGCUCGUCGACGACCUCUCUCGCUACAUGUGGGUGAUGGUCCUCGGCAGUAAGGGAGAGGCGGCAGACGCCAUCAGGCGCGCGCAGGUUGCUGUGGAGGCGGAGAGCGGCCGCAAACUGCGCGUGUUGCGCACUGACAACGGCGGCUGAAUUCGCGUCAUACUGCGCUGAUGAGGGCAUCCAGCGCCACUACUCCGCGCCGUACAGCCCGCAGCAAAACGGCAUCGUCGAGCGGCGCAACCAGACGGUUGUGGGGAUGGCUCGGGCUCUCCUCAAGCAGAGAGGGAUGUCGGCUGUUUUCUGGGGAGAGGCGGUGCUAACGGCCGUCUACAUCCUCAACCGCUCGCCUACUAAGGCACUCGACGGCAGGACGCCUUAUGAGGCCUGGCAUGGGCGGAAGCCGACGGUCUCCCACUUGCGGGUCUUUGGCAGCCUUGCGUUCGCCAAAGAGCUCGGCCACAUCGGCAAGCUCGACGACAGGAGUACUCCGGGAGUCUUCAUCGGCUAUGCGGAGGGCUCAAAGGACUACCGCAUCCUCGACCCAGAGACACAACGUGUGCGCACGGCGCGAGACAUCGUGUUCAACGAAGGGCGAGGGUGGAAAUGGGACAAGGCGGUGGACGACGGCUCGACGCCGACGUAUGACGACUUCAUUGUCGAGUACGUCCACUUCAAGGAAGCUGGGGGAGCAAGCAGCUCCUCUUCGCCGAGCACGUCUACCUCAGCCCCCAAAACUACAUCGACUCCGGUGCCUGCUACGCCGACGACACCACAACCGGCGAUGCCGCAUACUCCAGCCCCGGCAGUCACCACUCCGGGCUUGUCUUCAUCAGCACCAGCUCACGCAGAGCACAACCCGAUGAAGUUCGCUUCCCCGCUCACCCACGACGAGGAGCGCAUCGACGCGUAUCAUAGCGGCGAACCGCUGCGGUAUCGUACGAUGGAUAAUCUACUCGGCGACCAGCCGGUGCCGGGACUGGUGCCACGCGACCUGGAGGCGCAGCUACAACUCGCGUGUGAGGACGGCGAACCUCGGUCCUUUGCAGAGGCCGAGAGAGACGCGGCAUAGUGCGCCGCGAUGCAGUUGGAGAUGGAUGCGGUCGAGCAGAACCGCACCUGGGAGCUCGCUGACCUCCCAUGUGGUCACCGCGCAAUCACCCUUAAGUGGGUGUUCAAGCUGAAGAGGGAUGGAGCCGGCGCCAUCAUCAAGAACAAGGCUCGCUUGGUGGCCCGAGGCUUCUUGCAGCAGGAAGGAGUCGACUUUGACGACGCUUUCGCUCCCGUGGCACGGAUGGAGUCCGUGCGACUUCUCCUUGCGCUAGCUGCCCAGGAGGGCUGGCGUGUCCAUCACAUGGAUGUCAAGUCGGCAUUCCUCAACGGCGACUUGAAGGAGGAAGUCUAUGUGCAUCAGCCAUCGGGAUUUGCGAUCCCCGGCCAGGAGGGCAAGGUACUCCGCCUGCGUAAGGCUCUCUACGGCCUACGACAGGCACCUAGGGCGUGGAACGCCAAGCUGGACCCCACGCUAAAGAAGAUGGGCUUCGAGCAAAGCCCGCAUGAGGCGGCCGUCUACCGACGGGGCAGUGGAGGAAAUGCCCUGCUGGUGGGCGUCUAUGUUGACGACUUGGUGAUCACCGGCAUCAAAGAUGCAGAGGUGGCGGCGUUCAAGGAAGACAUGAAGGCCACCUUCCAGAUGAGUGAUGUGGGGCUCCUCUCCUUCUAUCUAGGGAUCGAGGUGCACCAGGAUCACUCCGGGAUCGCGCUUCGACAGUCCGCCUACGCCAAGCGCAUCGUUGAGCUAGCUGGGCUCACCGACUGCCACCCAGCUCUCACUCCGAUGGAGGAGAGGCUGAAACUGAGCCGCGACAGCACGACGGAGGAAGUGGACGCUACGCAGUACCGACGCCUUGUGGGGAGCCUUCGCUACCUCGCCCACACGCGGCCGGACUUGGCAUUCUCCGUGGGCUAUGUUAGUCGGUUCAUGGAGCGACCGACGUCGGAGCACCAGCAGGCAGUGAAGAGGAUCGUCCGCUACGUGGCAGGGACACUCGACCACGGCCUCCACUACCCUAGGUGUCCGGGGGCGGCACACUUCGUCGGGUACAGCAACCACGCCGGCGACAUCGACACCAGCAAGAGCACGAGCGGGAUCCUCUUCUUCCUCGGCAAGUGUCUCGUGAGCUGGCAAUCGGUCAUGCAGCAGGUGGUGGCCCUGUCCAGCUGUGAGGCCGAGUACAUAGCGGCCUCCACCGCCUGCACUCAGGCGCUCUGGCUCGCUCGACUGCUUGGUGAUCUCCUCGUCCGAGACACCAGAACGGUGCAGCUCCUGGUGGACAGCAAGUCCGCCCUGGCCCUGGCAAAGAACCCCGUUUUCCACGAACGGAGCAAGCACAUUCGACUGAGGUAUCACUUCAUCCGCAGCUGUUUGGAAGAAGGGAGCAUCGNNNNNNNNNNNNNNNNNNNNNNNNNNNNNNNNNNNNNNNNNNNNNNNNNNNNNNNNNNNNNNNNNNNNNNNNNNNNNNNNNNNNNNNNNNNNNNNNNNNNCUAGGCCUUCUCAACCAAUCCCUAAAGAAUCAACAAGUUUGAUUGGCUAGGGAGAGAGAUCGGGCACUUUUGAGCUUGGGGCGCAACAAUGGAGCUUAGAGAGGUAAGAGAGGGGAGUUCCUCAGCUAGAAGAACCCUUUAUAUAGUGGGGGGAAAAAUCAGACUGUUUUCCCACUCUCUGCCCGAGCUCCAGCGGUACUACCGCUGAACAGGGGCGAUACUACCGCUGGGACUCCAGCGGUACUACUGCUGGGACUCCAGCGGUACUACCGCCGACACCAGCGGUACUACCGCUGGCCCCUUGGUAGUGCANNNNNNNNNNGCGGUACUACCGCUGUCUGCAGCGGUACUACCGCUGGCACUCCAGCGGUACUACCGCUGAACAGGGGCGGUACUACCGCCGCCUGGCGGUACUACCGCUGGAUGCAGCGGUACUACCGCUGGGACUCCAGCGCUACUACCGCCGACACCAGCGGUACUACCGCUGGCCCCUUGGUAGUGCAAAAGCACUACUACCGCCAAGAAAGUCUUCGCAAAAAGGUCCGUCCACGAACUACCACUAGGCAGGUGGAACAAAGCUCCUGGAGCGGUACUACCGCUGACUAGGGGCGGUACUACCGCCAGCUAGCGGUACUACCGCGGGCUGCAGCGGUACUACCGCUAGCAAUCCAGCGGUACUACCGCUAGAGCCAACGGUACUACCGUUGGGGACCAUUUUGCAAAGAUGCGAGAAACAAAGUGGCGGGGGGGGGGNNNNNNNNNNUCACUACUACCGCCAAGAAAGUUUUCGCAAAAAGGUCCGUCCACGAACUACCGCUAGGCAGGUGGAACAAAGCUCCUGGAGCGGUACUACCGCUGACCAGGGGCGGUAUUACCGCUGGCUGCAGCGGUACUACCGCUAGAGCCAGCGAUACUACCGCUGGGGACCAUUUUGCAAAGAUGCGAGAAACAAAGUGGCGGGGGGGGGGCCCAAAGAUGAAGGAAAGGGAGAAUGUGAAGUGUGUGCGUGCAAAGAUAGAUUCCACCCAAACCUUUCCACUACGGAUCCCCUCUUAACAGUACGGCUUUCCUAUGACUCAAAUAAAGAGAAUCUUAGAGAGCGCCGUGCUUCCGUUCCAUGUAUGAGGAGACGUGUCGUCUUGUGCCGUUGACGUGUGUUAUCUGAAACCUUAACACACACGGUUAGUCCUGUACGNNNNNNNNNNUAGUACGGCUUUCCUAUGACUCAAAUAAAGAGAAUCGUAGAGAGCGCCGUGCUUCCGUUCCAUGUAUGAGGAGACGUGUCGUCUUNNNNNNNNNNNNNNNNNNNNNNNNNNNNNNNNNNNNNNNNNNNNNNNNNNNNNNNNNNNNNNNNNNNNNNNNNNNNNNNNNNNNNNNNNNNNNNNNNNNNCGCGUGGACAUUCCAUGAGCCCACAUGGAUGACAUCAAGAUAUGAUUAACUAUCAUUAGCAAUAAGAUAUGUUGAACUAAAAACUGCCAUAACUCGGUUAUUCCAGCUUGCAUGCUCAUUUCCUUUUAUGGAUUUCCGUAGACAUAUGAUGAAAAUAUCCCCAUUCUAUGAGAUGUAUUAUUUACAUUAUUUUUGAUUUUUUUUGUUCCUUUGCCCUUUUCUGUAGGGGGGAGGGGGCAUCAAAUAUUUGGAUUUUGAUGACCGCAAUGAUUUGCAUCCAGAGAAGGUCAAAUGUAAGUAGUGAUUGAUUACUAGUAUAAGAGGCCGACAUUGUACUACUCCCUCCGUUCCUAAAUAUAAGUCUUUUUAGACAUUUCACUAGUAGACUACAUACGGAUGUAUAUAGACAUAUUUUAGAAUGUAGAUUCACUCAUUUUGCUCCGUAUGUAGACUCCUAAUGAAAUCUCUUAAAAGACUUAUAUUUAGGAACGGAGGGAGUAUAAAACAUGAGUUGACUAGUAGGAUGUUAAGGGUGAACAUGCAAGGNNNNNNNNNNNNNNNNNNNNNNNNNNNNNNNNNNNNNNNNNNNNNNNNNNNNNNNNNNNNNNNNNNNNNNNNNNNNNNNNNNNNNNNNNNNNNNNNNNNNUCCAGAGAAGGUGAAAUGUAAGUAGUGAUUGAUUACCAGUAUAAGAGGCCGGCAUUGUACUAUAAAACAUUAGUUGACUAGUAGGACAUUAAGAGUGAACAUGCAAGGGUUGACACUGAUGACCAUAAAAAAUACAUCUCUCUUUAUCAUCAAUAGAAAAAGGUGAAAAUAUAUGAUUCAUGUGUCCCAACAGUAAAAACUCAUGACUGAAUGCAUGAGUCUUUAACUUCAUGAAACACAACCAUGAGUUAGUUUGUCUUUAACAUAUGUGUGAGAAAAAAAAAUUAGAUGCAUAUGCAAUGGCAAAUGAAAAAUACGCACAAAAAGAUUUUCAUGAUUCUUUAGUGGUACACUCAAGACGAGUUUAUUUGUAAAAUUUUGGAAAAGAAAAACAUCCAACAUAUCCAUUAAGUCUGUCUCUCGGGACUUGAAUCUACCUAGCCGAGAGAAAUCAAAUUUCCUUUUUUGAAGAAUCAUGUGCCCAAUUAUUAUACUUUAUAUCAUAUAUAGAAGUAUUUGUUUUAGCUGUAAAUAGAAAGUGGAAGUCAGAUGGAUCUUUUUCACAAGACAAAAAACAAUAUUCUCUUGAGAAUAUCUAUAGGGGAUGUGGUUACUUAUUCAUAAUUCGUGCUUAUUAGCACGAGAUAUUACAAGAGACAUAGAUUUUCACACAAAUGACAUACUUGUACAUUCCCUUACUUGGGAGGGAUUCAAGACAUGGCAUAUCAUGGCAUGGCAGGCAUAUAUAAUAAUUCUGCCAGCUAACAAAGGUGUCCCUGAUUUAUUUCACCAACACACAAUAAUAGUAGUAGCACGUAGGCCUCACGGGCUACUCCUUAUAGCGGAAGCAACUCGAUGCAUGAUGAUGGAUCAUGGAAGAACAUAGAUUCCAAUGGCGUCAAUGAGAUCCCCAACACGUCCAAAGAAACCGGUGAUCUGGCCGCCAUGAGUCNNNNNNNNNNNNNNNNNNNNNNNNNNNNNNNNNNNNNNNNNNNNNNNNNNNNNNNNNNNNNNNNNNNNNNNNNNNNNNNNNNNNNNNNNNNNNNNNNNNNUGUCACAUCCCUAACCCUUAAGCAAGAUAGCAUUGUGCUCAUGUCUUCUUUGCAUUUGCAUCUAAGAAGUUUCAACAAAAGCAACAAAGUGGCAAAGGAAAAACUCAAAACCCUAGCCACCAUUUCAAUUAAAGGAAAUCUCAAAUUAGUUCAAAAUCAAUGAACCCAAAAUGGCCUCAAGAAAUGUUCAAACUUUCUGAUAAAUCAUGAAAGUAAAUGAGCAUUGGAGAAAACUAUUUUCUUGACACCUUAAGCUUUUUGAAUAAAUGAAAAAGGCUACUGGUUUCAAGUUUUAAAUUUGAAAUCAGAAACUAUAAAUUUCCAAAAAUGUCGAAAAGCUUGAAAAUGGUUGGGGAUAUUAUAAGAAAUAUUUCAGGAGGUCUAAAAUAGUUUUUAAUUUUUGUUUUGGAGCUGAAUUAAUUAGCAAAACAGAAAAACAAAAACAGAAAAAAUGGAAAAACCUUACCUGUCGCCUAAGCCUGGCCCGGCCCAUCCCUGGCUCGUCCCCUCCCUUGCGCCAGUAGGCAGCAGGAGGUGACCGCCACCCCCUCCGGCACGGCCACGCACCUGCGUGCCUGCCUGGCCGCCGCCUCGCGCUGGCGACGACGGGGAUAAGCUCCCCAGAGCCUCCCCUAUCCAUUCCCCGCCUCGGUUCUCUUCCUCCUCCCGGAUCUCCUCCUCCUCCUUGCUGCCGCCAUUAGAGCCGAGCUCGAGCUCGAGCUGGCCGUGCCCCUGGCCAUAGGAUUCCCUCCCAGAGCACGCCAUUAACUCCGCCUCGUCGCCCUGGUCAUCUCUGCAGAAGCCGAAGCUUCCUCGAGCCCUGCAACGCCCGCAACGCCGUCGUCUUCCACCUCCGGCCGCCAGACCUCUCCCGUCGAUUCGCUUCCUCCGGCGCAUCCCCGAGCCCCUCUUCAGCGCCAUCGGAACCGCCGUGAGCUCGUCGUCGUUUUCCCUCUCGCCCCACGCUCUCCCGUGCAUCGUAUCCUAGUUCCCCACCAAGGCCGAGAGCUUCUCGCCGCCGGCCAUGUCGCUGUCGUCGCUGUGAUGACCGAUCCACGCGCCCGAGCUAGGAUUCGAGCUCCUGGAGCCUCCAGGAGCGUGUCGAGCCCUCCACCUGCCCUCCCCGUGCCCUAGAACCGCCCCUCAUAGAAGGCCGAGCUUCGGCCGCCGCUCCGGCUCAUCGCCGACGCCUCUUCCGGCGACCCUAGCCUCCCAGAUGAUCCUGCCAGAUCGGCCACUUCGCGAGCAUGCUGUAGUUGCAAACCGCGUGCGUUUUGGUGCUGUGCAGCGCCGUCUAGGUCGCCUCCGGCGAGCCCUCCGCCGCGGGCCUGGUCGCGGGCGACCACCCUCCGGUGGGGGUCGACGUGGCAAGCUAACCCAGCCGCUUAGUGACCUAAUCACUCGCUGACAAGUGGGCCCAAGGCCAAGUCANNNNNNNNNNUGGGGAGCCCUCCGCGGCGGGCCUGGUCGCCGGCGACCACCCUACGGUGGGGGUCGACGUGGCAAGCUAACCCAGUAGCUUAGUGACCUAAUCACUCGCUGACAAGUGGGCCCAAGGCCAAGUCAAACCUCAGUUAGGGCUGGUCAGCGCGGGAUUAGUCCCAGAGAGGCUGACCAGUGGGGCCCCCCUGUUAGGUUUGACCUGAACAGGUCGGCUGACCUGCUGACGUCAGCCUGAUGCAAUAAUUAGAAUUUCCAGUAUAAAACUAAUUCAGGAAAUUGCUAAAAAUUGUAAAAAUCAUAGAAUUAAUCUGUAACUCCAAUGAAAAUAAUUUAUAUAUGAAAAAGUAUCAGAAAAAUUCAAAGAUUCUGAUUAUGCUAUUUUCAACUANNNNNNNNNNGAAAUUAAUCUAUAACUCCAAUGAAAAUAAUUUAUAUAUGGAAAAGUAUCAGAAAAAUUCAAAGAUUCUGAUUAUGCUAUUUUCAACUAUGUUUGAAAAAGUUACAGAACCCUAAAUUGUGGAAUAAGGAAUAAUUCAAUUCUUAUAAUUACUUUUAAAAUGGAAUUUGAAAAAUUAUUCAAAUUUCAUUAUGAAUACAAUGAUCACACACUGUCCUACUUACAAAUCAGUACCAUAACAUGACAUUUCAUGCAUGCUAACAUCAAGUUGAUCUGAGCAUCAGGUCGAAUCAAUUAAAACGGUAUCCGAGAAUACCCCGUUUGAAUUGCUAUUUGAAUGUGAUUCAAAUCUACUCUAAACCUAAUACAUGUUGAAAAUAAUAACUUAUCACCUUGCAUUCUCAUGCCAUGCUCAUGCAUCAUUUUGAGUGCAUAUGAUUGUUAUUGAAUGUUGCCAUUCAUUUCGGUAGGCUCCGCACCCUCGGAUUCCAUCGAAUAUCCGUCUGACGGAUAUCGUUCCUCCUCUGAGCAACAAGGCAAGCAACCCUUUUGAUCAUCCCGAUAAAUCCCAUGUUCUCGCUCCUGCACCUAUUUAUUGCAUUUAAGAUCAAAUGCUUCAACUGCUUUUGCCACGAUAGUUGAACCCAUUUCCUUUGCAUGACUUAACCUUGUCACAGUAAAUAGCCGAACCUUGCAACCUAGCAUACCUGGUAGUUGCUUGAACUAUGAUGUGCCUUAUCCUGCUAUGCAUGCUAUGCUUAGAGUUGUGUAUGGUCCGUCAUCUGGGAUAUGAACAGAAAUGUGGAAUGUGUUCGGUGAGCAAAGGUUGUGUGUUGAACUUGAUUUGGUAAAGGUACCGGUGAAAGGCUGUGUAGGAGUACAUGGCGGGUUGUUUCAUUGGAACCGUCCUUAGGAACUGAGUUCCGUGUAUGCAUUCCAAGACUAGAUACUACCACAUACUGGGCCCUGAAAUAUGACCCCGCUCGGCCUAUUAAUCGCGUAGUACCCGGUCCAGGAAUUGCAAGUAGUUUCUGGUGUUUAUAGUAAUGCUGGAGGCCGUGCAUGGUGCUGACCUGAGAGGUGGGCCGUGAUGCGGUAGGCAGUGGCACGGUGUACCAAGUGGCACCCGGAUGGUGGGCUUGGGAACCCUGCGCACAUCGUUUGAGGCCGUGGCGGAAACCUCGGCCGGACUUCCGUACGGGUUACUCUCAGAUAGGCGAUAAACCUGGACUAGGUACUAGUGUGGUUAACGGUCGUGGCCGACUCCCUCGCUGGGCUUCCUCUUGAAGGUUGCCGAGGUGCAUGACGUGCACAUGGCGAUAAGUGGCGAGAGCGUGUGUGACGAAGUACACCCCAGCAGGGUUAUGAUCUAUUCGAAUAGCCGCGUCCGCGGAUAUGGACUACUUGGAGACAUAUGUUGUUCAUAGAUAACUUCAAUGGCUACUCAUAAAAUUGUCAAGAUAAGCGUGAGUGUCGUGGACGGCAUUUCCGUACGGAAACGGAAUGAUUCCACGAUAGUGUAUUGUUGUGGUGUUAGCGGACUCGUGUGCGAGAAAUCAAGUUGUCAAAAUAAUUUAAAAAUGCAAGUUGUCUAGCCACGAGUCAAAUGCUGGCUUUCCGCAUGAAACCCCACAAUACCUUUUGAUACCUUGCAUGAGUAGUUAGUUCUCCUAAAGUCUUGCUGAGUACCUUCGUACUCAUGUUUGCUUAAUAAAUGUUGCAGAGGUUGCUAAUGACCCUAAUGGAGGGUUCUUCGUAGACAUCGACGACGACGAGUAGCUGGUGUCCGAGCUACGAUCUGGCCCUACGUCGGCUCUGUAGUAUAGUCAGGCCAUGUGCCUUCUAGUUGCACUGCCUGUUCCGAGACAGUUUAUAACUCUUCCGCUGGCUUGUAUUGUAUGACUGCUAUUAUGGGUCGAGAGACCUUAAUGUGUNNNNNNNNNNUUUCCAGCUACGAUCUGGCCCUACUCCGGCUGUGUAGUAUAGUCAGUGCAUGUGCCUUCUAGUUGCACUGCCUGUUCCCAGACAGUUUAUAACUCUUUCGCGGGCUUGUAUUGUAUGACUGCUAUUAUGGGUCGAGAGACCUUAAUGUGUAAUAUUAUGUGUGUGGCUCUUCCGAGCCUCUUAAAUAAAGCUUGUAUGUUUAUGGUUAUGUUGUGAUGCCAUCGAUGUAUCUAUACAUAUUGAUAUGCCAUGCGUACGUGUGUCAUGCUUGAUAUGUAUGGGGUUCGAUUACCUAGUCGUGAUCUUUAGUAGCACUCCUUACAAGGAAAUGCCCCUUUGUGAUCCAACGAGCCUUGCUAGUUCGCUACUGCUCCGGACGCAUUGGUUUCCCGGCAUGUGUCCUUCUCAGCUGCUGUGUCUGUCCCCUUUGGGGAAAUGUCACGCGAUGUAAUGGAGUCCUUGUAGCUUGCUACGACUCGUCUACAUUCGCUGAUGACCGACACCUGCUUUGUUGGGUCAUGUAUGCCUGUCCUUGUGUGGUACUGCCACUUUGGUUUAUGACUAGACAUGUCGAUCCGGGUUCUUUGACAUUGGAUUGCUAGCGACACUAUCGCAUACGUGAGUCAAAAGACGCAAACGGUCCCGGCUAAGGUAAGGCUGCAGCCGUGGAGUUAACCGUGCGUGAGACCACAAAGGGAUGCGAUGUGUUACAGGCUGGAAUCCUAUGGCUUAGGAUCGGGGUCCCGACAUUUUGUAGGAAAACAAUUCAAUAAUGAAGUGUGCACGCGUGGACAUUNNNNNNNNNNCUGAGACCACAAAGGGAUGCGAUGUGUUACAGGCUGGAUUCCUAUGGCUUAGGAUCGGGGUCCCGACAGCGUUGGUAUCAGAGCCUGACUGACUGUAGGAUUACUAAGCCAAACUGGUCGAAGUUGAGUUUAGAAUUUCUUUAGUUAUAUAUAAGGGAAUUGUUUGUGGAAGGGAACGUCAGACUCUUGUUCUCUUCUCAAGUCAUUCUAUUCUGGUCAUCCUUGUCUUUUCUGCGGGAAUUAAGGACUAGGUUACUCAUCUUCUCCUAGGCUCGUGUUUCUCAUCGGUAGAUUAUAGGACUACGGGUCGAGAGAUAUUGGGUUUAUUUUAUUCCUAGGAAGCAUGAAGUAAGUUUGAUGAUCAAAAAGUGGAACUUGAUAGUUGAGUGGUUACGCUAUUCCAUUUUUGGGUUGUCUCAAAUUUGUUUUGAGCAUUUACAACCGUUAUGCUGCCCAAUUUUGCAUUCAGAGCUCUAAUGCUUUUGCAUUACUCUCUAUUUACAGAUGCCUGGCCGUCCUUCUCGUCAGGUGGUACGUCUGACCAGGUGCAUUGAUGUGCCGGGUCAUACGGCCAUGCUGGUCAGGGUGAUGUCGGUGUGCGGUUACCGCUGGUACCCCAAGUACACGGUAGAGGAACAGUACCGAGACUUCAACCAGAGCCAGUACAUCUACACUGUUAGGGUAUUUCCAGACUACCCUGGAACUGAGAAGCCAAUCCAUUGGUCCUAUGGGUUGGGGGUCACCGUUGACAUGGCAGUUCAGGAUGCUGCGUAUUCAAUGCUGACUAUUAUGAGAGCAAGACAUGCACUGCUGCAGAAUUCAGAGUUCUGCUAUGUUCCGGCCUCUCAGUCUGGUGAAGAGGGAUACCUCAGUGGAGUCUAUUUUGAUUCUUCUAUGGAGGAUCCACUUCUGCAGUCCACUGUUGAGAUGCUAGAGAACAGAGACAGGGAUGCUCGUGCUCUCCGCAUGGAGCUUUAUGCUACCCGUGCCCGUCUGUGGACAGCUUUGACGCAGCUGGCACCGGUAGUGCAGAGAGGGUAUGGAGAGAUGGAGAUGCUGAACCCUGUUAGAACCCAUCUUCCGGCCCACGUUGACUGGCCAGCUAUAGGAGGAGUCACACCUCUUCGGGGACCCCUCUUACCACCAGUCAGGGGACCAAGGCCACAUCCGUGUCCUUAUGGAUCCCAGGGAUCUCAGGCUAGAGUGUUUCCUGAUCCGCAGGUUGAGCUUCCAGGUCAUGGAGGUAAUCUCUAUGAGAUGUUCUAUGCGGAUGCCUGAGCUGUGAGCGGAAGGAUAGUAUGGUAGUAGUCGUACGUUCACAGUCCUGCGUGACUUGUGAAGUAUGGUAGUAAUGUGAAAUGAAUUCCGGAGGCCUAGAUAAAUAAUGUAUAGGAAGCCUGUAAGCCUCUAAUGAGUAGUUUCAUAAUUUCAGUAGUUUGCUCUUCGUUUAAGGUUGUACUGAACUAUGUAAGGGUGUGUAUGAACCAUGGUGUAUAUAUAGCAGUUGCUUGUUACCAUGCUGUUCGGAUAUUAAUUUCCGCAUUCCGUCUGUUCAGUACAUUCUUAAUCCAUAGCUAGUAUUGAUAUGAUGUUGGUCUAAGCUAUGAGUUUGUUUGUUAGGAUGGUGUUCACCAGGUUGAACCGUGCCCCUGCUCAUGAGCAAGGUGAGGGUAGUCAAGCGUCGCAGGAAGACCUGCCUCACCCACCUUCUCUGGUAGAAGUGAUGCUUGAGGCAGAAAGAAACAAAAGGGAGACCAACCGACUGCUAGAGCGUAUUGAGCAGAAUACGGCUCGACAGCCUAGGAAUGCUGCAGUGUCCCUCAAUGACUUUGUGAAGCUGAANNNNNNNNNNNNNNNNNNNNNNNNNNNNNNNNNNNNNNNNNNNNNNNNNNNNNNNNNNNNNNNNNNNNNNNNNNNNNNNNNNNNNNNNNNNNNNNNNNNNAAUUCUCAAAUAUGCAAAAAGAAUUUUUAAUAAACAUAGUUUUUAAUUCAAAAUACCAAAAUAGAUAAUAGUUUGGAUAGUCAAAAUUAUUAGUUAUGAAAAUAAAAAAUAGUUUUGCAUUAUUUAUUCAAUUUGAAACACUUCUCAUUAUCAUAGUUUUGUCAAAUUCUCAAAUAUGCAAAAAGAAUUUUUAAUAAACAUGGUUUUUAAUUGAAAAUAACAAAAUAGAUAAUAGUUUGGAUAGUCAAAAUUAUUAAUUAUGAAAAUAAAAAAUAGUUUUGCAUUAUUUAUUCAAUUUGAAACACUUCUCAUUAUCAUAGUUUUGUCAAAUUCUCAAAUAUGCAAAAAGAAUUUUUAAUAAACAUGGUUUUUAAUUGAAAAUAACAAAAUAGAUAAUAGUUUGGAUAGUCAAAAUUAUUAAUUAUGAAAAUAAAAAAUAGUUUGCAUUAUUUAUUCAAUUUGAAAGACUUUUCAUUAUCAUAGUUUUGUCAAAUUCUCAAAUAUGCAAAAANNNNNNNNNNNNNNNNNNNNNNNNNNNNNNNNNNNNNNNNNNNNNNNNNNNNNNNNNNNNNNNNNNNNNNNNNNNNNNNNNNNNNNNNNNNNNNNNNNNNAACUGAUGUUCAACCAUUCGUGUGUACCAUCUUUCGCGAAUAAUAUAUGACCUGCGACGUCAUGUGGAGGGCUUGGAGGUAAUGGAGGUGUAGGUGACCUGCGACGACUUGGAGGCGGUGUUGUCCUUGGGGCCGAGUCUGGAAGCUUGAUGUAGUUCUUGUCCCAUAGGAUGACUCCACCCAGUACUUCUCCGAGUGUCCUCUCAUCUUCGGGUCCAGCUAUGUCGAGCUCCAUAUCAUUGAACCCCGUCAUGAUUUCAUCCACCCCGACUUCAGCAAAGCCAGCUGGAAUCUCAUGGCCAUGCCAGCGUGCAUCAGGGCCAGAAGGUAAAGCUUGUCCGACGGCCACCUUCAUGGAUAUGUUCUUGAAUUUCUGAUGGAGUUCACAUGAUGUUGACUCCUUGAUUCCAUCCACGCGGUAUCCGGGACCACCCUCUAUCAUUCUUCGUUCAUCGUCGGGCGGGGCCUCAGAUUCAGCCACGCUGCUUUUCCGCUUAGAUGGGGCGCCGGUAAUAUCAAGUGCAGGAUCUUCCUGGCGCGGUACUCCUCUAAGCUCAUCAAUCUGCUUCUGUUGCUCGUUAAUCCUGGCAAGCAACUGGUUGAACUUGUCAUUCUCCUCAUCCUGCUGCCGCUUCUUUGCUCUCUCUCGGCUUCUGUAAGUGUCUUUGUCUCUGGCAAACCCAAGCCACCACGGGUAAGAAGGACCGAAGCCUCGCGUUCGUCCUCCAUGUUUGUCAUUGCCGAGGACCAGUGUAAGAAAAUCUUUAUCUCUAUCUGCAGAGAACUUUCUUUGUCCCUCCUUAAUUUCUUUCACUAUCCUUUUCCAAUUCUCCCUGGGUAUCCUAAGAUCGUCAUUGCAGAUGAGGUCCCCUGUUGUUUCGUCGUACGACCCACCAUGCGCAAGGAACCAAUUUCUUGCUCUCCAUUCCCACUCAUCACGGAGUGGUUCAGGUAUGAUGACUUUAUCUAUCAGAUCUUGCUCUUUCUUAUCCCACUUUGGGAUGGCAGUCUCAUAGCCCCCUGGCCCCAGCUUGUGGUGAUAUUUCUUCUUGUCGGCAUUUAUCUUGUUCUUUUUUGAUAAUGCCUGGGCAUCUUCUGACUCCUUGUACUCUUGAAAUGCCUUCCAGUGAUUCGCAUGCUUGGCUAGAUACCCCUCAAAUACUGACACUUUCUGUGUCUUCAGAUAGUUUUUCCAUAGCUUCUUCUUCCAGCUACGGAAUAGUUCGGCCAUCUUCUUCAGAGUCCACUGCUUGACUUUGUCCCUCAGUUUGUCUGCGGCGUCUUCAUUCUCACAUUCUGGCAGGUUGAAAUGUGACAUGAGAUCAUUCCAAAGAUUAUCUUUGUACCUUUUGGCGACAUAGUCACUAUCGGCUGCCCCUUUGCGCUUGUUCCACUCCCGAACGCUGAUCGGGACGUGAUCCCUAACGAGAACUCCGCAUUGCUUCUUGAAUGUGUCAGCAACAUUCUUAGGAAGCUUGGGUUCGCCCGUAGGCAAUAUCACCUCAAAGGUGUAAUGCGUCCGUGCAUCCAACUUUCUAGUCGGGCCUUGUUUCGUAGCUUUGCUCGAUGUGGAGGCCUAAGAGGGAGAAACAUUCGUCAAAUGAAUGUAUAUGUAUACAAUAUAGAGCUAUCUCCAAUAUUUUUCACAUAUUACAAGUGAUUGUCGAACUUCAUAUGUAUACCUCGCCGGACUUUAUUAUUUCUUCACCGGCUUCUCCAUCAGUGGAGCUAUCACCUUCUCUGUCAUUGGACCUAUCUCCUGCCCCAUCGGCUUCAUCUUCGUGUCGCUCGACCUCCAUUCCAACGUCCUGGUUUAGAUAUGACGACGGAGAUUCAGCUGGUUCAACGUCGGGGCCGUCUUUGAUUAUAUCUUCGAAAAGUUCUUCCUCUUCGAGGUUCUUGAUAUGUGGAUCCAUAGUUCUAUGAGGAACUCCGUUCCAAAACAACUUGAUAUGUGGAUCCAUAGUUCUAUCAGGAACUCCGUUCCAAAAAAAUGGAUUCUCUUAACGUUUGUACCAAAAAAGAAUUAUUCUAUCAGGAACUCCGUUCCAAAACAACUUAAGUCCCGGGUCAUGGCUCCACCCGGGACUCCUAGAUUUCUGCAUAGUAUUCAAAGUAGGAGUACUUUUCCAAUUUGAGCAUUCAAUAAGCAAAACCAAAUCGUAAAAUAAAGUAGUAUUCAAAUUAGCAUGCAUUCAAUUAUAAGCUAAUACAUCAUCACUUUUGUCCGUACACCAUCGAAUAUUAUCACUAAUACUCCUCGAAUACUAUCAUACAUAUAGCAUCACUAAUACAUCUAGAACCGUAGCGCCCGACGGGUAUCGGCGCGGGCGGUGGACACCCAAAGAGAAGGAACCAUCACAGGAUCAUAGCUCCAGUGAGAUCCCCGAAGAACCUGCCAGGUAUGCUCGAACCUGCCCUCCAACGCAACCAUGUAGCUGUUGGAAAUAUGCCCUAGAGGCAAUAAUAAAAUGGUUAUUAUCAUAUNNNNNNNNNNGGUCAUCAGUGUCAACCCUUGCAUGUCCACCCUUAAUGUCCUACUGGUCAAUUAAUGUUUUAUAGUACAAUGCCGACCUCUUAUACUUGUUGGAAAUAUGCCCUAGAGGCAAUAAUAAAAUGGUUAUUAUCAUAUUUCCUUGUUCAUGAUAAUCGUCUAUCGUUCAUGCUAUAAUUGUAUUAACAGGAAACAGUAAUACAUGUGUGAAUGAAUAGAUCACAAUAUGUCCCUAGCAAGCCUCUAGUUGGCUAGCUCGUUGGUCAAUAGAUGAUCAUGGUUUCCUGAUCAUGGACAUUGGAUGUCAUUGAUAACGGGAUCACAUCAUUGGGAGAAUGAUGUGGUGGACAAGACCCAAUCCUAAGCCUAGCACUAGAUCGUAUUGUUCGUAUGCUAAUGCUUUUCUAAUGUCAAGUAUAUUUUCCUUCGACCGUGAGAUUGUGCAACUCCCGGAUACCGUAGGAGUGCUUUGGGUGUAUCAAACGUCACAACGUAACNNNNNNNNNNNNNNNNNNNNNNNNNNNNNNNNNNNNNNNNNNNNNNNNNNNNNNNNNNNNNNNNNNNNNNNNNNNNNNNNNNNNNNNNNNNNNNNNNNNNGUGCUCCUCUCUGCAUGGUGUCCAUAAGUCCCUCAUACUCCAUAUAUAUAUACAUUUGUACUACUACCACCACUUCAACUUUCAUUUGUGUUGAACUAGCUUCAUCAUGGUACACACUUACACACACUCAUGCACAUUAUUCUUACUUCCAAUUUUCCAUUACAUGCAUGUAUGUAUACAUUCCAUACUUUGUGUGAUUUUACAUCUGUGUGAUGAUGCUUGCAGAGCAAGCCUGUGAAGAUUGGUCUAUGGGGUGGAGUAGGAGGCCAGCCUCGUGACGUCAGACACGCUCCCCACCGACUAACCCGGGUGGAAAUUUCUGGUGCAGACGCAAUCCACUCCACCAAGUUUACAUAUGAGGAUCAUGCAGGGGAUCAACAUGUAGAUGGUGUAUGGGGAGCUCCUAGUGGGAACAAGCACACGGUGNNNNNNNNNNCGGUGCAGACGCAAUCCACUCCAUCAAGUUUACAUAUGAGGAUCAUGCAGGGGAUCAGCAUGUAGAUGGUGUAUGGGGAGCUCCUAGUGGGAACAAGCACACGGUGUGUGAAUCAACUUAACCUUAUAAAAUACCUAAUAUAUACAAUUUAUAUAUGUAAGUAACCCUUAUCGCCAUAUGAAGUCCUAACUAUAGGUUAUAAAAAUGCAUGAUUGUUGUUUUACACAGUUGGACCUUGAAGACACGGAAUAUGUGACNNNNNNNNNNNNNNNNNNNNNNNNNNNNNNNNNNNNNNNNNNNNNNNNNNNNNNNNNNNNNNNNNNNNNNNNNNNNNNNNNNNNNNNNNNNNNNNNNNNNACAUCACAAAAUUUCAACAAUUUCUGACUUCAUUUGGUAUAUUUCAUGCAUUUACUUGUUUUUUGAGCUAGUUGACCCUAAAAUUGAAAAGCACUACAAAUGAACUCUGAAAAUGUUGAAAGUUGGCAUGCUAUCAUCAUUUCACCCACAUAGCAUGUGUUAAAAAGUUGAGAGGGCUACGACAAAAACUGGAUGCAGUUCGUGUACAAAACGGACAAUCUCUCUCGAAGUAGCAGGGUUUCGAAUGAGAACUCAUCUCUUACAAAGGGAUUUCAGUGUUUUGAACUUAUUUGAACUCCAUACUUUUUGUGUGUUCAAAAUGCACCAUUCAAAGGCACAUCACAAAAUUUCAACAAUUUCUGACUUCAUUUGGUAUAUUUCAUGGAUUUACUUAUUUUUUUUGAGCUAGUUGACCCUGAAAUUGAAAAGCACUACAAAUGAAUUCUGAAAAUGUUGAAAGUUGGCAUGCUAUCAUCAUUUCACCCACAUAGCAUGUGUUAAAAAGUUGAGAGGGCUACGACAAAAACUGGUGCAGUUCGUGUACAAAACGGACAAUCUCUCUCGAAGUAGCAGGGUUUUGAACGAGAACUCAUCUCUUACAAAGGGAUUUCAAUUUUUUGAAAUUAUUUGAACUCCAUAAUUUUUGUGUGUUCAAAAUGCACCAUUCAAAGGCACAUCACAAAAUUUCNNNNNNNNNNGAAAUUAUUUGAACUCCAUACUUUUUGUGUGUUCAAAAUGCACCAUUCAAAGNNNNNNNNNNNNNNNNNNNNNNNNNNNNNNNNNNNNNNNNNNNNNNNNNNNNNNNNNNNNNNNNNNNNNNNNNNNNNNNNNNNNNNNNNNNNNNNNNNNNGUUGACAUCACAAAAUGCUUCAAUCUAUAUCAUGCAUCUAUAAAACAGUGUUGAGAUUAAUUUUGUAGUACAAUAAUUCAAUAAUGAAGUGUGCACGCGUGGACAUUCCAUGAGCCUACAUGGAUGACAUCAAGAUAUGAUUACCUAUCAUUAGCAAUAAGAUACCUCCUCAACCCAACGAAACUUUUCACUGCCUUCCGAUUCCACAUGGCUAUGCUGUUGUGAUGAUGGAUCAAGUAAUGGAGGAAUUUGAGCAGCUCGAGCUUGACCACCCUACAGGUGAAGGGGAGAUUCAGUUGGUUCGUGCUCUGGGGAGUACAUGUCUAUGGCAGAAGGAGUUCAUCAAGCUUCCAAACUGGACGCCUCCGCCUCCUCCGACGACGACGACGAGUCAGGGCACUCUGCCUCCUCCGGCGAGUGAUCAGGGCACUUCGCCUCCUUCUCGAGCUCCUNNNNNNNNNNCACGAGUCAGGGCACUCUGCCUCCUCCCCCUCCUCCUCCUCCGGCGAGUGAUCAGGGCACUUCGCCUCCUUCUCGAGCUCCUUCGACGCGUGAGGGCACUUCGCCUCCUCCUUCGCCUCGUCGACGCGUCAGAGCAGUCCGCCUCCUUCUCUCAAGCAGAAGAGAUACACCUCCUUCUCUCCGGCGGCUAGCAGUACAAGCAGAGGCGGGAAAUACGGUCCAUCUAUCAAGCUGAAAAGUUACCAUAUGAGAGGACCAAGGAGGAAAACGAGGACAUAUGUCGUGCCAAAUUGAGGGCCCAUUUUGCAAAGAAAACUCCACCUCCGAAGGAGAAGCUAGAUCCGGUGAAAGUGGAGCACACUAUCAAUCAACUGCAGCGACCACCUGCGCCUCUGUCGGAUUCCAACUAUGACCGCAUUCUUAAAAAGACAUAUGCACAAGCGGUGCGGUCGGGAACUACUUCUAGUGAUGCAAGGUUAGCAGAACGAAGAAGUGAGAAAACAAUUCCCGAGCUCGAUAUCGUCGUCGCUAAUCAUUCGGAGAUGGUGCCUAGUACCAAUCAUGAUGAUUACUUGGGGGGCGAUGUAACAAAAGAAUAAUAUAAAUACGUGCAUGGGAAGCCUCUCAUCAAACCUGGUCAUCCUGCCCUAACAACGAUGAUGCACAGAUUGCAUGAGUGGUAUAUGAAAACCUGCAGGGAGUCCAGGAAAAACGCUAUGUAUGUGGCAGUGAAACGAGAGCACGAAUUCAUUGGACUUCCCGUGAUUACUAUUCAAUUUGAGGAGUUAUUUCAGUUAUACAAUCAACUGGCCCUUGACAAACAACUCAUGGCUUCCUACUGUCUGUAAGUAUUACUUCUAUAGUUAAGUCUCUAGCUCAACUCGUUCAUUGCAUGUAUAUAUUAGUUAUCCUCACUAUAUAUAUUAUGCAGAUUGAAGAUCGUCGAAUUAAAAAAACAGGAAUCGUCGACGUUGGGUUCAUUAGCCAAGAUGUCUUAAAUGAAUUGACGAUACGAAUCUCAAUCAAAGAGACCGAGGAGAACUUGCUAAACUCGUUCCUUAUACAUAAAAAAAGAGGAAAUAAUCUUUCCUUACAACUUCAAGUGAGUGUUGUUGUCUUAUUUGUAAACUCGGCUUCGCUUACUCGAGGUUAAUUAAGUAAUGUAAUUGAUGAGUUAUAUAUGCGUGCGCAGAGACCACUUUAUUCGGCUAUCCAUUGAUGUUGGCAGGGCAUUAGUAAAUGUAUUAGACUCGAGACGUAAAGCCGAAGAGGAUUAUGAGGACAUUACUGCAAUGCUCAAGAAGUAAGUUCAGUCAAUAUAUCGAGACCAUAUCGGCAUGCAACUUUCGUUAAUUUCCUGAUAUCAAGUAAUCAUUUUUCUUUGCCUGUUAGGGUUUGGACGAAGUUCGCCAAUAAGGUUUCCGGUAUAAACAAAGAGUUGCGAUUUACGCACCCCAAAGUAAGUAGUACUAUCUAGUUCCGCGCAUCUCUAAUUGAUUCAAAUUUUUAUCAAUAUAUCAUUACCAUGCUUGCUUAUCAAUUAAUUGAACUCUAUUCUUGUAAAGUGUAUGUACCAGAAAGAAGACAGUGUUUUAUGUGCAUACUACGUAUGCAAGUUCAUUCGCCACUCGAUCUCUGAGCGGGUCUUCUCUGAGAAACAAUUGCAAGUACGUAAAUAUUAUUCACAAUUCUAUUGAGUUUUAUUCAUAUAUAUGCAUGUAUUGACCCCUUCUUUAAAUUAGAUCUCGGAGAUGCGGGAUGAACUCGUACCAUAUGAUCGCAUACGAGCAAUUCAAGAGGAAUUGACGGGAUUCUUUCUUGAUCACGUCAUACCUAAAGACGGAGAAUGCCAUGUGGAUUUGUCAUUGGAUCUUAUUAGAUGAUGUUUUGGAUUAAUUAUAAAAGAUGUUAUAUUGUAUAUAUGUAAUAGCGUAGGAUAGAUGUACGAAAACUUGUUGUUCGACCAAGCACGGAGAGAGAGAGGACACUUCUCUCUAUUAACUAGCUAACACAAUAUGAAACCACUAAAUUAACCCUCCAACCCCCCCCCCCCAAUUUGGUCCCGGUUGGUGUGACUUACCGGGACUAAAGUUCCUCCUGCCUAGGCUCCCCGCAGCGGCCACGUGAAGCUUCUUUAGGCCCGGUCCAUAAGCCAACCGGGACUAAAGGUUUGGGCCUUUAGUCCCGACCCUUUAGUCUCGGUUCAAAAACCGGGGCUAAUGGGUCUCUGAAACUAGAACAAAUCAGCCUUUUUCUACUAGUGGAUACACGGGUUGACGACUAGUAACAAAUGUUUUUUGUCUUUUUCGCUGUAAAGUCAAUGUUGGUUUAUUUAUUGAAAAUUUAUAUACUAUAGUACAAAAGUAAGUCAAGUGUAUUUCCCCGGCUCCAAGGCCAGAAACUGGUGAAUCACAAACUUAAGUUUCAAGCUCUGAAUUUGAGACAAGAGAUAACACAAAUACAGAUUGCUUUUACUCCUUCCGAAUUCAGCUACGGAACAACAAGUAACAAUUCGAGAUGGCAAAACUAAACAAAUGUUUUAGUUGAGCAGCGAGUUGUGCACCACAGAAUAUUUCCCUCUCUGUCGAUUAGCCAGGAGCGAAAAUUCAGUAGCCGAAAAUAAAAAUGCAGGAACGAGCUUGAUAUAAAACUGCAGCAAAUUUUACCAACAUUAAGCAUACGGAAGCUGCACAUAACUAACGUACUGAUCAUGUCUGAUCAUACUAGUCAGGAGUCACAUAGGAAAGGUCCAACACUAGUACAUCAAAUUAGGACGACCACAAUCUAUACUCUAUACUCUUAUCUUAUACUAAUUAAAGACUCCCUAGAAAUUACCACGUUAAUUAGUAAAUAGGAGCCGUUAAUCUUGAUGGGACCGAGUUAUAACGGCCAGAUUUAAUCUAAUUAAUUGAAGAAAAAGAAAAAAAUCACAACCGUCAAUUUUAUGGGUCGAAACUAGAACGACUCAGAUUGAAAACCAUUGAACAAUAGUUAUAAAGAUUAAACAUUGAACAAUACGUACAUAUCCUCGGAAAAAAGAACAAUACCUACAAGUCACGACCAUUAAAUCUCUGAGUUAUUCAUAAACCUGCCCUGAAAAACUGCCCUAUCCCUAAUCAUUGGAAAAGAAAAGAAAAACUUUCUACUAAUCUCUCAUUCGCCGCCACACGAUACUCUCCUGCUCGAGUGAUACUCAUGCCAUCAAAUCCCACGUCGCCGGCUAUCCUCGCGCUGUUCUUGCCGGUGACCUUCAGGCAUCUUGCCGAAUCCAGUGAAAUCCACGCCGUCAACCAUCUUCACGCUGCUCUUGGCGGUGAUCUUCAGUCAAGAUACGGAAGUAUACAGGCUCAACACUUGAUUGAUCUCCCCGCCAGAUCUGAAAGUACACAAACCUGGCGGCUUAUCUGUCAUCCUCGGAUGCAGGCGCACAAAGGUGAUAACACCCGCACAUGGGAAACCUGUACAUGUGGAAACCUAUACUCAGAAGCUCUAUGCCCCUGAUCUCAGUUAUAUGCCCAGCCAACUCUCAGACUGAAAGAGAAAAGAUUCUUGUGGUUCUACCUGUACAUGUGGUCGUCAGUGCGGGAGGCAUCAAGGUCAGGUUUAAAGUAAUUAAGCAACUAUGUCAAGGAUGCUGCCAAGGGUUUCUGGAUAACCUUCAAGGCUGUAACCCCUUCUCCUAACGUUAAUCGAUAUUUUCUUCGAUGGCCUUUUCAUAAAGAAAGACAUUGAUGCCUAUCUUGCAUGAGGUUUUCGACUAAUUUCUCAUCUUUAGCAAAACUAUAUGUUGAUAUGAUUUCUUUUCUUUUUCUUUUUGAAUCUAUGGAGGGGGCAUGGAGAUCGGUUGCGAAUAUUUUUCUCCUUUUUGUAUAUCAAAUAAUCUUUCAGUAGAGGGCUAUUUCUUGGUUGAGGUGUGAAAGAUCUGAUUGUUGUCAUACAAUCUGUAUAUGGUAUGUGUCGUUGAAUAUGUUCUUAUUAUUCUUGCAUGUCUGGAAUAUAUACUCAUUAUGCUUAAACGCAUAUAAAGUGUAGGCAUAUCCAUAGAUUAUUUGUUAUUCAUCCUUUAGCUGCAGAUUGAGCAAUUUGUUCAUGAGUGAGAAAUAACAGUUAGUAUGCCUCAUUUCCUAUCGUAUUAUUGUUGAUAUUUCUUAAGGUAAUUAGAGACAAGAUUACCUAAGUUUCUCAAAAUCAUAUUUAAAAACUGAUGUUUGUUUCAGGUGAAUACAUAUCUUGUGAGACUCCUCGAGAAGAGAGAUUGCUCGGUUAAUAUAUCUUACAUUUGUUUGAUUCCUGUUUUUCUCGACUAGAUGCUGCCACCUGCUGGUCAUAUACAUAGCAAUGGUAAUUUAUGCCACAAAACCAUCGCUCAGUGUGGUGUAUUCUCUCCUUAGUCGACAUAACAAAAAUUGAGCCCCGACACUAGAAACAGAAAGUUCGUCGAUGAAGAGAUAAAAGAUGAUGCUGACAAAGGACCAUGGUGGAUAAUGCAGAGGUUUCAAACGGUCAAACUGGGCCAUGGGAGAAAGACAUGUGUGGCCAAUAGGCAUGCCCUAUAAACAACACGGCUUGAACCUCAUCAGCAAACACAUGGCCAAGGACGAGAUUGAUCUUUUACUAAGGCACAAACACUUGCGUUUGCUGCAUCCACUGAAAUAGGGAUCCAAUAUUUUUGUAAACUAAAGAGACUGCAGUACAUGUUUAUUUGUAACAAAAACUGAUAAGUACAGAUGCAGUAGACUAUUAUUUAGGGUUGUAAACUGCAGGUGCAGGCAUGUACACUAGAGGAAAUGAGGAAUAUUCGUAACUGUUAGUAAUAAAUAUACUUGCAUGUUACUAAUUUAUUCUCUUACACAGGUUUGUCAGGCUAUAUGGACCUAGGUUGUUGCACUUACCAUUAGCACUAUGCAAGUUUUCGGCAUGAUAGCCCUUUCCUUGCUUCAAACUGAUUGAAGUAUUUGGUGGAAGUGCCAAAAAAUUGUUCAUAUUAUAUCCAGCCGUCUAUCUCCUCAAUGACACAAUACAGAUGUUCCUCGCUAGAUUACGGGAAAGAAACUGCCAUGAAGAGGACCAUCCAAUUGGCUGUUCUUGAUCGUCAUUUUUAUGGGGUUUCGACAAAGCCACAGAAACAUGGGAAAUGCCGUACCAACAAGUAAUUUCUUGAUUUGUCAUUUAUUUGUCCCAUAUCUUCCAUGAUUUGAUUUGAUUUGAUUUUUUUCGUAUGUUCAGUCGGGUUCUUCUUUUUGAUAACAGCAGCCAUGCCCAUCAUAUCAUGUGACAAAUCAGUUGCAGAGCUUGGAUGAUGAUAUAUACCACCUGAUGUAUUUAUUCAUCACUGUGUUGUAUUCAUUUAUUUCUCUGUAUACACACUCAUGUACUGAUUGGGUUCCAUUUCUUCACAGUUUUAUACCCCAAUUUGCUUGCUGUUGUUCAGGUCUUCAUGUUCUAAUCAGUGGUGGAAGGAAAUUUGCACAUUCUUAAUACUAAGGAGUGAAAAUCACACCAAUGCCGGUUAGAGUAGCUAUCUAUUUAAAAUUUUGUUCAGUACAGUUUAGUUAUGCAGUUGGUACCAAAGAAAAAGAUAGACACUAUAAGGCACUUCAAAAACUUUGAAGUCCGUCUGCAAUAGCAACAUCAUUUCAGAGAUAUUUUAUAUGGUCUUCCUUUAACACAGUCUACAGCAAAAUAGAAAUGGAAACAACCUGCUAUUGUUUUUUUUAUCUAAUAAAUUUCAUGAGAAGGACGAGUGGAAAGUUUAGGUCUGAUCAAGCUUGUGUUUGGUUGACAUUACUAUUGAGACACUCUGCUGAAAUUCCACGUACAACAGAGAUAAACAAAUAGUAUAUUGUGACAAUUAUCCAGUAAGACUGAGUUACAAUGCCUUAUACAAAAAGGUUUCUUCUUUCAUUGCGACAUCAUAACAACUUAGAUCGAUUUGCAUUGAGGAAAAUGUUAACACAUAGAUGCAUUGAGGAUAAUUUACAGCUCAAGGACGAAGCCUACCAUACCAUUGGAUACACUGUAUACACUAGUGGAAAACGGGCCUUUGGCCGGGACCAUUUAGUACCGGCCUGCCUCUGGGACGGGACUAAAGGCCCGGCCACGUCGCCCCAAUUCUCAAUGCCUCCCUCGAGGCUUUAGUCCCGGCCCGUAAGGAGCCUUUAGUCCCGGUUCGUUUCCCAAACCGGGACUAAAGGGCUACGCGGUGGGCAGUGGUGGUGGCAACCGUUCGUAUCCCCCUUUAGUCCCGGUCGGUGGCUCAACCCGGGACUAAAGGACUAACACGUGGCCCGCCGUAGUGGUGGAGACCGUUGGUAUACCUCUUUAGUCCCGGUUGGUGGCUCAACCCGGGACUAAAGGCCUAACACGUGCCCUGUUGUAGUGGUGGCAACCGUUUGGUAUACCUCUUUAGUCCCGGUUGGUGGCUCAACCCGGGACUAAAGGCCCAAACGGUUUGCAUCCCGCGUCGUUUCGAGUGAUGAAAAGCACGAACCGAAGCGUACAAUCGCCAUUUCUCUGUUUCUUCUUCUCUCUCGCGUCGCCCUCUCUGUUCUUCUCCUCUCUUCUUCCCUUCUCUUCUUCCACCAUGCCAACUAGCUUUCAUGAGGUGCUCGCACAUGGCACGACCAAGCUCCGUGUCAUGUACACGAACCUGAGCAGGGAGGUGCCGUUUUUUCUUCAACAGUUGAAGGAACGAUGGUUUGACCACGUAGUGGAUCAUGAGAAGUUCUUGGGGCUUGAUCUGGAGUACACGACCGAUCAACGCGGUGUUGCCGUCAUCCAACUAUGCUUCGCACGCCAUGUCUUGAUCUUUCAAUGGGCGAGGUAAGUUUUGAGGCUUUCUUUGAUCCAAGAUAAUGGCAUUGUAAGUUUAUUUGUUUCAAUCAUAGUUGGUUCCCUUCAAAUAGUUGUAGUGAAACAAUUUUGAUUNNNNNNNNNNNNNNNNNNNNNNNNNNNNNNNNNNNNNNNNNNNNNNNNNNNNNNNNNNNNNNNNNNNNNNNNNNNNNNNNNNNNNNNNNNNNNNNNNNNNUAUAUGCGUAUUGCUAUCGAGAUUCAAUAUGAACAAUCCUCUCACAUUCGGUGCAUGACCAUAAAAGAUGUUACUCAUAGAAAUAGAACAACCAUUAUUCUCAGACUUAAAAGAGUAACCGUCUCGCAAUAAACAAGAUCCAGAUAUAAUGUUCAUGCUCAACGCAGGCACUAAAUAACAAUGAUUUAAGUUCAUCACUAAUCCCGAUGGUAGCUGAAGUGACACUGUGCCGACGGCGAUUGCAUCAACCUUGGAACCAUUUCCUACGCGCAUCAUCACUUCGUCUUUCGCCAGCCUUCGUCUAUUCCGCAGUUCCUGUUUCGAGUUGCAAAUGUGACCAACAGAACCGAUAUCGAAUACCCAGGCACUACUACGAGAGCCGGUUAAGUACACAUCAAUAACAUGUAUAUCAAAUAUACCUGAUUUUUCUUUGCCCGCCUUCUUAUCUGCCAGAUACUUGGGGCAAAUGCGCUUCGAGUGACCCAUACCCUUGCAAUAGAAGCACUCUGUUUCAGGCUUAGGUCCAGCCUUGGGUUUCUUCGGCGGAUUGGCAACAGGCUUGCCGCUCUUCUUCGAAUUGCCCUUCUUGCCUUUGCCGUUUCUCUUGAAACUAGUGGUCUUGCUCACCAUCAACACUUGAUUCUCUUUACGGAGUUCAGACUCUGCGACUUUCAGCAUCACAAACAACUCGCCGGGAGACUUGUUCAUCCCUUGCAUGUUGUAGUUCAACACAAAGCCUUUAUAGCUUGGCGGCAGUGAUUGAAGGAUUCUGUCAAUGAUAGCUUCUUGCGGGAGUUCAAUCCCCAGUUCAGCCAGACGGUUUGAGUACCCAGACAUUUUGAGCACAUGUUCACUGACAGACGAGUUUUCCUCCAUCUUGCAAGCAUAGAAUUUAUCGGAGGUCUCAUACCUCUCGAUCCGGGCGUUCUUCUGAAAGAUAAACUCCAACUCCUGGAACAUCUCAAAUGCUCCAUGACGCUCAAAGCGACGUUGAAGUCCCGGUUCUAAGCCGUACAAGACUGCACAUUGAACUAUUGAGUAGUCCUCCUUACGCGCUAACCAAGCGUUCUUAACAUCCUGAUCAGCCGUAGCGGGUGGUACAUCUCCUAGCGCAGCAUUAAGGACAUAAUCCUUCUUCCCAGCUUGUANNNNNNNNNNAUACAAGACUGCACAUUGAAUUAUUGAGUAGUCCUCCUUACGUGCUAACCAAGCGUUCUUAACAUCCUGAUCAGCCGUAGCGGGUGGUUCAUCUCCUAGCGCAGCAUUAAGGACAUAAUCCUUCUUCCCAGCUUGUAAGAUUAGCUUAAGAUUACGAGCCCAGUCUACAAAGUUGCUUCCAUCAUCUUUCAACUUAGCUUUCUCUAGGAACGUAUUAAAAUUCAGGAUGACUGUUGCAUGAGCCAUGAUCUACAACACAAAUAUAUUCAAAGUGGACUUAGACUAUGUUCAAGAUAAUUAGAGUUCAACUUAAUCAAAUUAUAUGCUAAACUCCCACUCAAAAAGUACAUCUCUCUAGUCAUUUGAGUGGUUCAUGAUCCACUUACACUAUCCCAAGUCCGAUCAUCACGUGAGUCGAGAGUAGUUUCAGUGGUAAGCAUCCCUAUGCUAAUCAUAUCAACUAUAUGAUUCAUGAUCGACCUUUCGGUCUCAUGUGUUCCGAGGCCAUGUAUGCACAUGCUAGGCUUGUCAAGCUUAACCCGAGUGUUCCGCGUGCGCAACUGUUUUGCACCCGUUGUAUGUGAACGUUGAGUCUAUCACAUCCGAUCAUCACGUGGUGUCUCGAAAUGACGAACUGUAGCAACGGUGCACAGUCGGGGAGAACACAAUUUCGUCUUGAAAUUUUAGUGAGAGAUCACCUCAUAAUGCUACCGUCGUUCUAAGCAAAAUAAGGUGCAUAAAAGGAUUAACAUCACAUGCAAUUCAUAAGUGACAUGAUAUGGCCAUCAUCUCGUGCUUCUUGAUCUCCAUCACCAAAGCACCGGCACGAUCUUCUUGUCACCGGCGCCACACCAUGAUCAUCCAUCAACGUGUUGCCAUCGGGGUUGUCGUGCUACUUAUGCUAUUACUACNNNNNNNNNNNNNNNNNNNNNNNNNNNNNNNNNNNNNNNNNNNNNNNNNNNNNNNNNNNNNNNNNNNNNNNNNNNNNNNNNNNNNNNNNNNNNNNNNNNNGGGUCUACACACUUAAGGUUCGAUGACGCUAGGGUUAUAGGGAAUUGUUAUACGAGAUUACCGAAAGUUGUUCGGAGUCCCGGAUGAGAUCCCGGACGUCACGAGGAGCUCCGGAAUGGUCCGGAGGUAAAGAUUGAUAUAUAGGACGGAUGGUUUCGGACACCGGAAGUGUUUCGGGCAUCACCGGUAACGUACCGGGACCACCGGGACCACCGGAGGUGGUCCCGGUGGACCACCGAAGGGGGGCUGCGACCCCAAGAGGUAAGAUGGGCUAAGUGGGGGUGGGAACCAGCCCCUAGUUGGGCUGGUGCGCCUCUCCACUCAGCCCAUGGCGCAGGGGAAAGAAAAAGAGGGGGGAACCCUAACUUAGGUGGGCCUUAGGCCCACCAGAGGGGUGCGCCACCCCCUCCUCCCCAUCUGGCCGCCACACCCCCCAUCUGGGAGGGCUGCCGCACCCCCUAGGGUGGGAACCCUAGGGGUGGCACCCCCUCUCCCCUUCCCCUAUAUAUAGUGGGCACUUUUGGCCUUUGGAGGACACAGUUUUCCUUCUCCCUCGGCGCAACCCCGCACUUCUCCCUCCUCCUCUCUGCCGGCGCUUGGCGAAGCCCUGCCGGGAGACCUCGNNNNNNNNNNGUGCGCCACCCCCUCCUCCCCAUCUGGCCGCCACUCCCCCCAUUUGGGAGGGCUGCCGCACCCCCUUGGGUGGGAACCCUAGGGGUGGCACCCCCUCUCCCCUUCCCCUAUAUAUAGUGGGCACUUUUGGCCUUUGGAGGAUACAGUUUUCCCUCUCCCUCGGCGCAGCCCUGCACUUCUUCCUCCUCCUCUCUGCCGGCGCUUGGCGAAGCCCUGCCGGGAGACCUCGUCUCUCCACCAACACCACGCCGUCGUGUUGCUGGUCUUCUUCCCCAACCUCUCCCUCCUUGCUGGAUCAAGGUGCGGGAGGCGUCACCGGGCUGCACGUGUGUUGAACGCGGAGGUGCCGUUGUUCGGCACUAGAUCGGAAUCGCUGCGAGUACGACUCCAUCAACNNNNNNNNNNCCUUGCUGGAUCAAGGUGCGGGAGACGUCACCGGGCUGCACGUGUGUUGAACGCGGAGGUGUCGUUGUUCGGCACUAGAUCGGAAUCGCUGCGAGUACGACUCCAUCAACCGCGUUCUAGCAAACGCUUCCGCUUAGCGAUCUUCAAAGGUAUGAAGAUGCUCUUACCCCUCUCUCGUUGCUGGUCUCUCCAUAGGAAGAUCUGAACAUGCGUANNNNNNNNNNNNNNNNNNNNNNNNNNNNNNNNNNNNNNNNNNNNNNNNNNNNNNNNNNNNNNNNNNNNNNNNNNNNNNNNNNNNNNNNNNNNNNNNNNNNGAAAUCAUAGAGAAAAUUCAAUCUAAAUUCUCAUUUGAAUUUAGAUUGAAUUUUCCCUAUAAUUUAUAAUAUAGUUACAAUUGUCAGUAAGUUUAGGCCCGUAAGCCUGCUUUAGAGAGGAGCUCGAUGGAGAAGCUGCAACGGGGCUUAUAAACAAGUGUUAGUCCCCCUCGNNNNNNNNNNNNNNNNNNNNNNNNNNNNNNNNNNNNNNNNNNNNNNNNNNNNNNNNNNNNNNNNNNNNNNNNNNNNNNNNNNNNNNNNNNNNNNNNNNNNNNNNNNNNNNNNNNNNNNNNNNNNNNNNNNNNNNNNNNNNNNNNNNNNNNNNNNNNNNNNNNNNNNNNNNNNNNNNNNNNNNNNNNNNNNNNNNNNNNNNNNNNNNNNNNNNNNNNNNNNNNNNNNNNCACCCCUUUUCGGCAGGCGAGGAGGCGGGAAAUGAGGGGCUUUAGUCCCUGGCCGUGGCUCCAACCGGGACUAAAGGGGGUCUUUAGUCCCGGUUCGAGCCACGCACCGGGACUAAAGUUCCACCUAUAUAAGCAGGACUUCAAAAAAUUCCAACCCAAAUCAUCCAUUUCUCUUCUUCUUCCUCUCGUUCUCCUACCCGGCGCGGCACAGCGACGAACUCGACGACGCCGUCAGGCAGCCCGACGUCCUGCUCGCCGCCGCCUGCCGUNNNNNNNNNNNNNNNNNNNNNNNNNNNNNNNNNNNNNNNNNNNNNNNNNNNNNNNNNNNNNNNNNNNNNNNNNNNNNNNNNNNNNNNNNNNGUCGUCCUCCUCGCCGCCGCCGUCCUCCUCGCCGCGCGCCGCCGUCAUCCUCGCCGCGCGCCGUCGACACCUCCGACCGGUAAGCCCCCCGCCCCGUCCUCCCCAACACUCCGGCUAGUAGAAGAAAAGAAGAAAAUGUGGGGGAACGUCGCAUGGGAAACAAAAAUUUUCCUACGCGCACGAAGACCUANNNNNNNNNNACAGGUGGUAUAUAUCUGAUGAGGAACGUCGCAUGGGAAACAAAAUUUUUCCUACGCGCACGAAGACCUAUCAUGGUGAUGUCCAUCUACGAGAGGGGAUGAGUGAUCUACGUACCCUUGUAGAUCGUACAGCAGAAGCGUUAGAGAACGCGGUUGAUGUAGUGGAACGUCCUCACGUCCAUCGAUCCGCCCCGCGAACAAUCCCGCGAUCAGUCCCACGAUCUAGUACCGAACGGACGGCACCUCCGCGUUCAGCACACGUACAGCUCGACGAUGAUCUCGGCCUUCUUGAUCCAGCAAGAGAGAUGGAGAGGUAGAAGAGUUCUCCGGCAGUGUGACGGCGUUCCGGAGGUUGGUGAUGAUCUCGUCUCAGUAGGGCUCCGCCCGAGCUCCGCAGAAACGCGAUCUAGAGGAAAAACUAUGGAGGUAUGUGGUCGAGCAGACGUGAGAAAGUCGUCUCAAAUCUGCCCUAAAAGCCCCAUAUAUAUAGGAGGAGGGAGGGGGACCUUGCCUUGGGGUCCAAGGGACCCUCAAGGGGUCGGCCGAGCCAAGGGGGGGAGGACUCCCCCCCCCCAAACCGAGUUGNNNNNNNNNNGGCAGCCGUGAGAAAGUCGUCUCAAAUCAGCCCUAAUUGCUCCAUAUAUAUAGGAGGAGGGAGGGGGGGGGCCUUGCCUUGGGGUCCAAGGACCCCCAAGGAGUCGGCCGAGCCAAGGGGGGGAGGACUCCCCCCCAAACCGAGUUGGACUUGGUUUGGUGGGAGGAGUCCCCCUCCCUUCCCACCUCCUUCCUUUUUUUCUUUCCUCUUGAUUUUUCUUCUCUUGGCGCAUUGGGCACUUGUGGGCUGUCCCACCAGCCCACUAAAGGCUGGUGUGGCUCCCCCAAUGCCUAUGGGCUUCCCCGGGGUGGGUUGCCCCCCCCCCGGUGAACUCCCGGAACCCAUUCGUCAUUCCCGGUACAUUCCGGGUAACUCCGAAAACCUUCCGGUAAUCAAAUGAGGUCAUCCUAUAUAUCAAUCUUCGUUUCCGGACCAUUCCGGAAAACCUCGUGACGUCCGUGAUCUCAUCUGGGACUCCGAACAACAUUCGGUAACCAACCAUAUAACUCAAAUACGCAUAAAACAACAUCGAACCUUAAGUGUGCAGACCCUGCGGGUUCGAGAACUAUGUAAACAUGACCCUAGAGACUCCUCGGUCAAUAUCCAAUAGCGGGACCUGGAUGCCCAUAUUGGAUCCUACAUAUUCUACGAAGAUCUUAUCGUUUGAACCUCAGUGCCAAGGAUUCGUAUAAUCCCGUAUGUCAUUCCCUUUGUCCUUCGGUAUGUUACUUGCCCGAGAUUCGAUCGUUAGUAACCGCAUACCUAUUUCAAUCUCGUUUACCGGCAAGUCUCUUUACUCGUUCCGUAAUACAACAUCCCGCAACUUAUACUAAGUUACAUUGCUUGCAAGGCUUGUGUGUGAUGUUGUAUUACCGAGUGGGCCCCGAGAUACCUCUCCGUCACACGGAGUGACAAAUCCCAGUCUUGGUCCAUACUAACUCAACUAACACCUUCGGAGAUACCUGUAGAGCAUCUUUAUAGUCACCCAGUUACGUUGCGACGUUUGAUACACACAAACCAUUCCUCCGGUGUCAGUGAGUUAUAUGAUCUCAUGGUCAUAGGAAUAAAUACUUGACACGCAGAAAACAGUAGCAACAAAAUGACACAAUCAACAUGCUACGUCUAUUAGUUUGGGUCUAGUCCAUCACGUGAUUCUCCCAAUGACGUGAUCCAGUUAUCAAGCAACAACACCUUGUUCAUAAUCAAAAGACACUGACUAUCAUUGAUCAACUGACUAGCCAACUAGAGGCAUGCUAGGGACGGUGUUUUGUCUAUGUAUCUACACAUGUAAAUGAGUCUUCAUUCAAUACAAUUAUAGCAUGGAUAAUANNNNNNNNNNCUUAUCCAGUUAUCAAGCAACAACACCUGGUUCAUAAUCAGAAGACACUGACUAUCAUUGAUCAACUGGCUAGCCAACUAGAGGCAUGCUAGGGACGGUGUUUUGUCUAUGUAUCCACACAUGUAAAUGAGUCUUCAUUCAAUACAAUUAUAGCAUGGAUAAUAAACUAUUAUCUUGAUACAGGAAUUAUAAUAAUAACUAUACUUUUAUUAUUGCCUCUAGGGCAUAAUUCCAACAGUCUCCCACUUGCACUAGAGUCAAUAAUCUAGCCCUCACAUCACCAUGUGAAUUACAUUGUAAUAAAUCUAACACCCAUACAGUUCUGGUGUCGAUCAUGUUUUGGCCGUGGAAGAGGUUUAGUCAGCGGGUCUGCUACAUUCAGAUCCGUGUCCACCUUGCAUAUAUUUACGUCCUCCUCCUCGACGUAGUCGCGGAUGAGGUUGAAGCGUCGUUUGAUGUGUCUGGUCUUCUUGUGAAAUCGUGGUUCCUUUGCUAAGGCAAUGGCACCCGUGUUGUCACAGAACAAGGUUAUUGGAUCCAGUGCACUUGGCACCACUCCAGGAUCCGNNNNNNNNNNGGGUCUUCUUGUGAAACCUUGGUUCCUUUGCUAAGGCAAUGGCACCAGUGUUGUCAUAGAACAAGGUUAUUGGAUCCAGUGCACUUGGCACCACUCCAAGAUCCGUCAUGAACUGCUUCAUCCAGACACCCUCCUUAGCCGCCUCCGAGGCAGCCAUGUACUCUGCUUCACAUGUAGAAUCUUUCAUGGCAGUUUCUUUCCCGUAAUCUAGCGAGGAACAUGUGUAUUGUGUCAUUGAGGAGAUAGACGGCUGGAAAUAAUAUGAACAAUUUUUUGGCACUUCCACCAAAUACAUCAAUCAGUUUGAAGCAAGGAAAGGGCUAUCAUGCCGAAAACUUGCAUNNNNNNNNNNGGAUCUGUGUCAAAGCUUGCAUCGACGUAACCUUUUAUGGCGAUCUCUUCGUCACCUCCAUACACGAGAAACAUCUCCUUAGUCCUUUUCAGNNNNNNNNNNUGAUCUGUGUCAAAGCUUGCAUCAACGUAACCCUUUACGGCGAGCUCUUCGUCACCUCCAUACACGAGAAACAUCUCCUUAGUCCUUUUCAGGUGCUUCAGGAUAUUCUUGACCGCUGUCCAGUGAUCCACUCCUGGAUUACUCUGGAGCCUGCCUGCCAUACUUAUGGCCAGGCUAACAUCCGGUCUAGUGCACAGCAUCGCAUACAUGAUAGAACCUAUGGCUGAAGCAUAGGGGACGGAGNNNNNNNNNNAUGGAACCUACCUGCCAUACAUAUGGCCAGGCUAACAUCCGGUCUAGUGCAUAGCAUCGCAUACAUGAUAGAACCUAUGGCUGAAGCAUAGGGGACGGAGNNNNNNNNNNNNNNNNNNNNNNNNNNNNNNNNNNNNNNNNNNNNNNNNNCACUGGCAAGAACCCUUUCUUGGACUGUUCCAUUUUGGACCUCUUCAAAACUUUAUCAAGUAUGUGCUUUGUGAAAGUCCUAUCAGGCGUUUUGAUCUAUCCCUAUANNNNNNNNNNCGCAUAUGCUCUCUAUCUUCAUCAGUUGCUGGGCACUGAGUUUUACUCAAUCUCAUACCUUGUAAAACUGGCAAGAACCCUUUCUUGGACUGUUCCAUUUUGAACCUCUUCAAAACUUUAUCAAGGUAUGUGCUUUGUGAAAGUCCUAUCAGGCGUUUUGAUCUAUCCCUAUAGAUCUUAAUGCCUAGAAUGUAAGGAGCUUCUCCUAGGUCCUUCAUAGAGAAACUUUUAUUCAAGUAACCUUUUAUGCUCUCCAAAAACUCUACGUUGUUUCCAAUCGGUAAUAUGUCAUCCACAUAUAAUAUUAGAAACGCCACAGAGAUCCCACUCACUUUCUUGUAAAUACAAGAUUCUCCAACCACUUGUAUAAACCCAAAUGCUUUGAUCACCUCAUCAAAACGUUUGUUCCAACUCCGAGAUGCUUGCACCAGUCCAUAAAUGGAUCGCUGGAGCUUGCACACCUNNNNNNNNNNGCUCUACGUUGUUUCCAAUCAGUAAUAUGUCAUCCACAUAUAAUAUUAGAAACGCCACAGAGCUCCCACUCACUUUCUUGUAGAUACAAGGUUCUCCAACCACUUGUACAAACCCAAAUGCUUUGAUCACCUCAUCAAAGCGUUUGUUCCAACUCUGAGAUGCUUGCACCAGUCCAUAAAUGGAUCGCUGGAGCUUGCACACCUUGUCAGCAUUUUUAGGAUCGACAAAACCUUCGGGUUGCAUCAUAUACAACUCUUCCUUAAGGAAACCGUUAAGGAACGCUGUUUUGACAUCCAUCUGCCAGAUUUCAUAAUUGAAAAAUGCAGCUAUUGCUAACAUAAUUCUGACGGACUUAAGCAUCGCUACGGGUGAGAAAGUCUCAUCGUAGUCAACUCCUGGAACUUGUGAAAAACCCUUUGCCACAAGUCGAGCUUUAUAAACGGUCACAUUACCGUCAGCAUCCGUCUUCUUCUUAAAGAUCCAUUUGUUCUGAAUAGCCUUGCGGCCCUCAGGUAGUAUCUCCAAAGUCCACACUUUGUUCUCAUACAUGGAUCCUAUCUCGGAUUUCAUGGCUUCUAGCCAUUUGUUGGAAUCUGGGCCCACCAUUGCUUCUUCAUAAUUUGCAGGUUCAUUGUUGUCUAACAACAUGAUUGAUAAUACGGGAUUACCGUACCACGCUGGAGCAGCGCGUGAUCUCGUCGACUUGCGUGGUUCAACAGAAACUUGAACUGGAGUUUCAUGAUCAUCAUCAUUAACUUCCUCCUCAACNNNNNNNNNNUCUGGAACAGCGCGUGAUCUCGUCGACCUGCGUGGUUCAAUAGCAACUUGAACUGGAGUUUCAUGAUCAUCAUCAUUAACUUCCUCCUCAACCGGCGUCGCAACGACAGAGGUUUCCCCUUGCCCUGCGCCACCAUCCAGAGGGAUAAGAGGUUCGACAACCUCGUCAAGUUCUAUCUUCCUCCCACUCAAUUCUCUCGAGAGAAACUCCUUCUCGAGAAAAGUUCCGUUCUUAGCAACAAACACUUUGCCCUCGGAUUUGAGAUAGAAGGUGUACCCAACUGUCUCUUUUGGGUAACCUAUGAAGACGCACUUUUCCGCUUUGGGUUCCAGCUUUUCAGGCUGAAGCUUUUUGACAUAAGCAUCACAUCCCCAAACUUUAAGAAACGACAACUUUGGCCUCUUGCCAUACCACAAUUCGUAUGGUGUCGUCUCAACGGAUUUUGAUGGUGCCCUAUUUAAAGUGNNNNNNNNNNACAUCCCCAAACUUUAAGAAACGACAACUUUGGCCUUUUGCCAUACCACAGCUCGUAUGGUGUCGUCUCAACGGAUUUUGAUGGUGCCCUAUUUAAAGUGAAUGCAGUUGUUUCUAAUGCAUAACCCCAAAAUGAUAACGACAAAUCAGUAAGAGACAUCAUAGAUCGCACCAUCUCUAACAAAGUACGAUUACGACGUUCGGACACACCAUUACGCUUUGGUGUACCAGGCGGUGUUAACUGCGAAACAAUUCCACAUUGUCUUAAGUGAGCACCAAACUCGAAACUCAGAUAUUCACCCCCACGAUCAGACCGUAGGAACUUGAUCUUCUUGUUACGAUGAUUUUCCACUUCACUCUGAAAUUGCUNNNNNNNNNNGUGGUGUUCCAGGCGGUGUUAACUGCGAAACAAUUCCACAUUGUCUUAAGUGAGUACCAAACUCGAAACUCAGAUAUUCACCCCCACAAUCAGACCGUAGGACUUGAUCUUCUUGUUACGAUGAUUUUCCACUUCACUCUGAAAUUGCUUGAACUUUUCAAAUGUUUCAGACUUGUGUUUCAUCAAGUAGACAUAACCAUAUCUACUUAAAUCGUCAGUGAAGGUGAGCAAAUAACGAUAUCCGCCGCGUGCCUCUACGCUCAUUGGACCACACACAUAGGUAUGUAUGAUUUCCAACAAGUCACUUGCACGCUCCAUUGUUCCGGAGAACGGAGUCUUAGUCAUCUUGCCCAUGAGGCAUGGUUCGCACGUGUCAAGUGAAUCAAAGUCAAGUGACUCCAAAAGUCCAUCAGCAUGGAGUUUCUUCAUGCGCUUUACACCAAUAUGACCUAAACGGCAGUGCCACAAAAAUAUGGCGCUAUCAUUGUUUACUNNNNNNNNNNNNNNNNNNNNNNNNNNNNNNNNNNNNNNNNNNNNNNNNNNNNNNNNNNNNNNNNNNNNNNNNNNNNNNNNNNNNNNNNNNNNNNNNNNNNUGAAGAAUCCAGCGCCCAUUUCUUAUACUUUAUAUCACAUAAAGAUGUUUUUGUUGUACAAUGUAAAAAAUGGACCUUUUUCACAAGCCAAAAAUAGGAUUCCCUAGAGAACAACUCAGGGGAUGUGGUUAACAAUUGCAUGCUAGCUAGUUUUAGUAAAUAAUAACACAAGGUGAAGUGUGAAUUCAAAAGACGAGAUAUAGCAUGCCAAAUUCUUUAAGGGUGGGUUAGUUAGCCAGUACACUGGUUGACAAUUGGAGUUGUGGGUUAGUUAGCCAGUACACUGGUUGACAAUUGGAGUUGUUACACGUCGACAUCUAGUGAGCUCACAUUGUUUACCUGACAAAAUGUUUCUAUCUAUAUCGUGCAUGUAUAAAAAAAUGUUGAGAUAAAUUUUGUAGGACUACAAUUCAAUAAUGAUGUGUGCACGCAUGGACAUUCUAUGAGCCCCACGCAUGACAACAAGAUAUGAUUACCUCUCAUUAGCAAUAAGAUAUGUCGAACUAAAAAGUACCAUACUUCUGUUAUUCCAGUUUGCGUGCCCAUUCGGUUUUGUGGAUUUCCAUACACAUAUGAUGGAAAUAUCCCCAUUCGACCCAUUCGGUUUUGUUGAUUUCCAUACACAUAUGAUGGAAAUAUCCCCAUUCGUCGAUGCCAUGUAUUCUGUACAUUCUUUUGAAAAAAUGACUUUUUUUCCUUUUGCCCAAAUUUCUAGGGGGCGGGGCAUCAAAUAUUUGGAUUUCGAUGUCCGGAAUAAUUUUGAUGUGUGGAAGGACUCGAAGAAUACCAUAACUGUUAUUACGGACGAUCAUGUUAGUUACCCGUGUGCAAUAGUCUAAUAGGCUAAUUAAUCCCAAUAUGGCGAUUCACUAAAAGGAUGGCACAUUUUGCAAACGAUAAUCCCAUUAGUAUUCAAUGCGACCGCAAUGAGUUGCAUCCAGAGAAGGUGAAAUGUAAGUAGUGAUUGAUUACCAGUAUAAGAGGUCGGCGUUGUACUACAAAACAUUAGUUGACUAGUAGGACAUUAAGGGUAGACAUGCAAGGGUUGACACUGAUGACCUUAAAAAACACAUCUCUCGUUAUCAUCAAUAGAAAAAGGUGAAAAUAUAUGAUUCAUGAGUCCCAACAGUAAACACUCAUGACUGAAUGCCUGAUUCCUUAACUUCAUGAUACACAACCAUCAGUUAGUUUCUCUUUAACAUACGUGCGAGAAAACAAAUUACAUGCAUAUGCAAUGUCAAAAUAAAAAGUACGCACGAAAAUAUUUUCAUAAUUCUUUAGUGGUACACUCAAGACGAGUUUAUUUGUAAAAGUUUGGAAAAGAAAAACAUCCAACAUAUCCAUUAAGUCUGUCUCUCGGGACUUGAAUCUACCUAGCCGAGAGAAAUCAAAUUUCCUUUUUUGAAGAAUCAUGUGCCCAAUUAUUAUACUUUAUAUCAUAUAUAGAAGUAUUUGUUUUAACUGUUAUAUCCAUUAAGUCUGUCUUUUAGGACUUGAAUAGCCGAGAGAAAUCAAAUUCCUUUCUUGGAAGAAUCCUGUGCCCAAUUAUUAUACUUUAUAUCAUAUAUAGAAGUAUUUGNNNNNNNNNNNNNNNNNNNNNNNNNNNNNNNNNNNNNNNNNNNNNNNNNNNNNNNNNNNNNNNNNNNNNNNNNNNNNNNNNNNNNNNNNNNNNNNNNNNNCAAAUCUAGAAAAAUGAGUUACCUUGCGGGCCUCCAAUAAGUGAGGGAUGUUAGUUUUGUAGUGUGGCAUCUCACAUCGAUGAUGAAAAAUAAUAGUUUUUGGAUGUCUUAAGUGUGGUCCCAAAAUAUGUGCACGUAUCGCCACACCAUUAGCUAUUAUUUUUACGUUUUUCUAUUGAUGAUAACGAGAGAUGUAUUUUUAAAGGUCAUCAAUGUCAACUCUUGCAUGUUCACCCUUAAUGUCCUACUGGUCAACUGAUGUUUAAUAGUACAAUACAGGCCUCUUAUACUAGUAAUCAAUCACUAAUCAAUACAGGCCCCAACUGAUGUUCAACCAUUCGUGUGUACCAUAUUUCGCGAAUAACAUAUUCUUUCUCAUGCAAGACAUAAAAGGAAUCACAUUCGAGAUGUGGGUCGUGUGUCGACGAAAAGUACUAGUUUUAAAUUUAUUCCAUUUGUACCAUUAAAGAAACUGAAUUUUAUCGGUGUACGUGUUUAUUUCGUGGUUGGUUAUGNNNNNNNNNNNNNNNNNNNNNNNNNNNNNNNNNNNNNNNNNNNNNNNNNNNNNNNNNNNNNNNNNNNNNNNNNNNNNNNNNNNNNNNNNNNNNNNNNNNNNNNNNNNNNNNNNNNNNNNNNNNNNNNNNNNNNNNUUUUUUGCUUUUGGAAGAGCCUCAUAAAGGUCAAGAACCAUUUACUGAAUUACAAAUAAAUUAGAUUUUGUAAGUUAAUAUAUUUCAUGUAAAAAAGGAUGAAGGGAGUGCAUGGCAUAGAUUUAGCUCACGAUGUUCUUCUAACACAACUGUCGAAAUCCAAAAAAUGAGUUAGCUUGUCGGACUCGACCAAGUGAGAGAUGUUAGUUUUAUAGUGUGGGAUGUCACAUCGAUAAUGAAAAAUAAUAGUUUCUUGAUGUCAUAAGUGUGGGCUCAAAUUAUGUUCACGCAUCCCCACAACAUUUGUUAUUAUUUUCACCUUUUCCUAUUGAUGAUAACGAGAAAUGUAUUUUUUAGGUCGUCAGUCUCAACCCUUGCAUGUUCACCCUUAACAUCCUACUAGUCAACUCAUGUUUUAUAGUACAAUGUCGGCCUCUUAUACUAGUAAUCAAUCACUACUUACAUUUGACCUUCUCUGGAUGCAACUCAUUGCGGUCAUCAAAAUCCAAAUAUUUGAUGCCCCCCUCCCCCUACAGAAAAGGGCAAAGGAACAAAAAAAUCAAAAAUAAUGUAAAUAAUACAUCUCGUAGAAUGGGGAUAUUUUCAUCAUAUGUCUACGGAAAUCCAUAAAAGCGAAUGAGCAUGAAAGCUGGAAUAACUGAAUUAUGGCAGUUUUUAGUUCAACAUAUCUUAUUGCUAAUGAUAGGUAAUCAUAUCUUGAUGUCAUCCAUGUGGGCUCAUGGAAUGUCCACGCGUGCACACUUCAUUAUUGAAUUGUUUUCCUACAAAAUUAAUCUCAACCCUUUUUUAUAGAUGCAUGAUAUAGAUUGAAGCAUUUUGUGAUGUCAACAAUGUGAGCUCACUAGAUGUGCACAUGUAACAACUCCAAUUGACAACUGGUGUGCUGGCUAACUAACUCAUUCUUAAGGAAUUUGGCAUGCUAUAUCUCGUCUUUAGCAUUCACACUUCGCCUUGUUUUAGUACUUACUAAAACCUAGGUANNNNNNNNNNNNNNNNNNNNNNNNNNNNNNNNNNNNNNNNNNNNNNNNNNNNNNNNNNNNNNNNNNNNNNNNNNNNNNNNNNNNNNNNNNNNNNNNNNNNUAUCUUAUUGCUAAUGAGAGGUAAUCAUAUCUUGUUGUCAUGCAUCGGGGCUCAUAGAAUGUCCAUGCGUGCACACAUCAUUAUUGAAUUUAUGUCCUACAAAAUUUAUCUCAACCUUUUUUUAUAGACGCACGAUAUAGAUAGAAACAUUUUGUCAUGUAAACAAUGUGAGCUCACUAGAUGUCCACGUGUAACAACUCCAAUUGUCAACCGGUGUACUAGCUAACUAACCCACUCUUAAAGAAUUUGGCAUGCUAUAUCUCGUCUUUGGAAUUCACACUUCGCCUUAUGUUAUUAUUUACUAAAACUAGCUAGCAUGCAAUUGUUAACCACAUCCCCCUGAGUUGUUCUUUAAGGAAUCCUAUUUUUGUCUUGUGAAAAAGGUCCAUUUUUUACAUUGUACAACAAUUAACCACAUUCCCCUGAGUUGUUCUCUAGGGAAUCCUAUUUUUGUCUUGUGAAAAAGGUCCAUUUUUUACAUUGUACAACAAAAACUUCUUUAUGUGUUAUAAAGUAUAAGAAAUGGGCGCUGGAUUCUUCAAAUAAAGAAAUUCAUUUUUUUCUUGACUAGGUAGAUUCUAGAGCCGAAAGACGGAAUUAAUGGAUAUGUUGGAUGUUUGUCUUGUCCAAAGUUUUGCAAAUAAACUCGUCCUGAGUGUACCACUAAAAAAUCAUGAAAAUAUUUUUUUCCGUACUUUUUUGUUUUGUCAUUGCAUAUGCAUGUAAUUUUUUUUCACGCAUCGCAUGUUAAAGACAAACUAACAUAUGGUUGUGUUUCAUGAAGUUAAGGGCUCGUGCAUUCAGUCAUGAUUCUUUACUGUUGGGACUCGUGAAUCAUAUAUUCCAUUUCCAACUGCACGUACAUACCAUCUACAAGAUGCUCAUGAUUUGACAUGUCUUUCGGAUGCAAGAUCGGUAAGAUGACCCAUCCAUGAUGUUCAUUGUGCGUGUUGCGUAAAAUAGUACAAACGAUACUGUCACGGGUGUAUGCCUAGAGAAUAUGUUUUUUCAUGUAAUCGUUUUGUUCAUUGUGCGGGUUGUGUAAAAUAGAACAAACGAUACCGUCAUGGGUGUAUCCCUAGAGAAUAUGUUUUUUCAUGUAAUCGUUUCGACUAUGGUUAGAUUUGAAUUUAAAUUUAUUUUUUCUUUCACAUAUGCCACACCGACACAAAAUGAUUUGCACUUUUGUGAGAUCCGCAUUAAGAUUGAGAACACUUUCAUUCAAGUUGUAGUGUUCACUAUUGGGAAUAAUCAAUCGGUUAGAUUUUUGUGUGAUAAUAUAUGUCCUUUAUAAGAAGCAUUCUAUGAGGAAAAAUAGACUGCGGAUAGGAGGCUUUCGGGUGUAAAAUGGGGUUUUAAUACUUCUCGUAGCUUUAUAACCAUACGUAUGUACCAUCUGUCGGCAAUAAUAUAUUAUUGAUGUGCCCUUGCUUUCGCAUACAAGACAAAAAAGGAAGACCAUCCUGUCGGCAAUAAUAUAGCGCAUCUCUGUAUCAACUGAAUAACUCUAUCUAAGAGUGACGUCGAUGGAACCGGUGAACCACGCGAGCUGGAUAGAUGCGUGGGGCAGUGCAUCCCUCUCGGUCUCAGGGCUUGCUCAAUCAACCAGAAAAGAAGGCUGAGGAAAGUUGUUUGAUUGACCAUUGGUUUAAAAAAUGCGUAGAUGGUUUGCUAUGAUGAGGUCCCGGACCAGAUACAAAGCUGCAUAAAAUAGCUACUUCUUACUAGCCCGACUCGGCUCUGCGAGAAAACGGCUGCAGUCCUUGGUUUCCUAAACGGCGGCUACUUAUUGAUGUGCCCUUGCUUUCGCAUGCAAGACACAAAAGGAAGANNNNNNNNNNNNNNNNNNNNNNNNNNNNNNNNNNNNNNNNNNNNNNNNNNNNNNNNNNNNNNNNNNNNNNNNNNNNNNNNNNNNNNNNNNNNNNNNNNNNAACUGAAUUUUAUCGGUGUACGUGUUUAUUUCGUGGUUGGUUAUGGAUGUAAAUUUCUUACUUUGAUGUUCGUGAAAGAAAACUAAACGAAUCGAUACUUUGCUUUUGGAAGAGCCUCAUAAAGGUCAAGAACCAUUUACUGAAUUACAAAUCAAUUAGAUUUUGUAAGUUAAUAUAUUUCAUGUAAAAAAGGAUGAAGGGAGUGCAUGGCAUAGAUUUAGCUCACGAUGUUCUUCUAACACAACUGUCGAAAUCUAAAAAAUGAGUUAGCUUGUGGGACUCGACCAAGUGAGAGAUGUUAGUUUUAUAGUGUGGGAUGUCACAUCGAUAAUGAAAAAUAAUAGUUUCUUGAUGUCAUAAGUGUGGGCUCAAAUUAUGUCCACGCACCCCCACACCAUUUGCUAUUAUUUUCACCUUUUCCUAUUGAUGAUAACGAGAAAUGUAUUUUUUAGGUCGUCAGUCUCAACCCUUGCAUGUUCACCCUUAACAUCCUACUAGUCAACUCAUGUUUUAUAGUACAAUGUCGGCCUCUUAUACUAGUAAUCAAUCACUAAUCAAUACAGGCCCCAACCGAUGUUCAACCAUUCGUGUGUACCAUAUUUCGCGAAUAACAUAUUCUUUCUCAUGCAAGACAUAAAAGGAAUCACAUUCGAGAUGUGGGUCGUGUGUCGACGAAAAGUACUAGUAAUAAAUUUAUUCCAUUUGUACCAUUAAAGAAACUGAAUUUUAUCGGUGUACGUGUUUAUUUCGUGGUUGGUUAUGAAUGUAAAUUUGUUACUUUGAUGUUCGCGAAAGAAAACUAAACGAAUCAAUAUUUUUUGCUUUUGGAAGAGCCUCAUAAAGGUCAAGAACCAUUUACUGAAUUACAAAUAAAUUAGAUUUUGUAAGUUAAUAUAUUUCAUGUAAAAAAGGAUGAAGGGAGUGCAUGGCAUAGAUUUAGCUCACGAUGUUCUUCUAACACAACUGUUGAAAUCCAAAAAAUUAGUUAGCUUGUCGGACUCGACCAAGUGAGAGAUGUUAGUUUUAUAGUGUGGGAUGUCACAUCGAUAAUGAAAAAUAAUAGUUUCUUGAUGUCAUAAGUGUGGGCUCAAAUUAUGUCCACGCACCCCCACACCAUUUGCUAUUAUUUUCACCUUUUCCUAUUGAUGAUAACGAGAAAUGUAUUUUUUAGGUCGUCAGUCUCAACCCUUGCAUGUUCACCCUUAACAUCCUACUAGUCAGGUCAUGUUUUAUAGUACAAUGUCGGCCUCUUAUACUAGUAAUCAAUCGCUACUUACAUUUGACCUUCUCUGGAUGCAAAUCAUUGCGGUCAUCAAUAUCCAAAUAUUUGAUGCCCCCUCCCCCUACAAAAAAGGGCAAACGAACAAAAAAAUCAAAAAUAAUGUAAAUAAUACAUGUAGUAGAAUGGGGAUAUUUUCAUCAUUUGUCUACGGAAAUCCACAAAAGCGAAUGAGCAUGCAAACUAGAAUAACUGAAUUAUGGCAGUUUUUAGUUCAACAUAUCUCAUUGCUAAUGAUAGGUAAUCAUAUCUUGAUGUCAUCCAUGUGGGCUCAGGGAAUGUCCACACGUGCACACUUCAUUAUUGAAUUGUGGAACUACAAAAUUAAUCUCAACCUUUUUUUAUAGAUGCAUGAUAUAGAUUGAAGCAUUUUGUGAUGUCANNNNNNNNNNNNNNNNNNNNNNNNNNNNNNNNNNNNNNNNNNNNNNNNNNNNNNNNNNNNNNNNNNNNNNNNNNNNNNNNNNNNNNNNNNNNNNNNNNNNCAAACGGAAUACAUUUGUAAGCAGUACUUUUCGUCGACGCACGACAAACAUGUCGGAUGUUCUUCCUUUUGUGUCUAGCAUGCGAAAGCAAGGGCACAUCAAUAAUAUAUUAUUGCCGACAGAUGGUACAUACGUAUGGUUAUAAAGCUACGAGAAGUAUUAAAACCCCAUUUUACACCCGAAAGCCUCCUAUCCGCAGUCUAUUUUUCCUCAUAGAAUGCUUCUUAUAAAGGACAUAUAUUAUCACACAAAAAUCUAACCGAUUGAUUAUUCCCAAUAGUCAACACUACAACUUGAAUGAAAGUGUUCUCAAUCUUAAUGCGGAUCUCACAAAAGUGCAAAUCAUUUUGUCUCGGUGUGGCAUAUUUGAAAGAAAAAAAAAUAAAUUCAAAUCUAACCACACUCAAAACGAUUACAUGAAAAAACAUAUUCUCUAGGGAUACACCUGUGACGGUAUCGUUUGUACUAUUUUACACAACCCGCACAAUGAACAUCCUGGAUGGGUCAUCUUACCGAUCUUGCAUCUGAAAGACAUGUCAAAUCAUGAGCAUCUUGUAGAUGGUAUGUACGUGCAGUUGGAAAUGGAAUAUAUGAUUCACGAGUCCCAACAGUAAAGAAUCAUGACUGAAUGCACGAGCCCUUAACUUCAUGAAACACAACCAUAUGUUAGUUUGUCUUUAACAUGCGAUGCGUGAAAAAAAAUUACAUGCAUAUGCAAUGACAAAACAAAAAAGUACGGAAAAAAAUAUUUUCAUGAUUUUUUAGUGGUACACUCAGGACGAGUUUAUUUGCAGAACAAGACAAACAUCCAACAUAUCCAUUAAGUCCGUCUUUCGGAUCUAGAAUCUACCUAGUCAAGAAAAAAAUGAAUUUCUUUAUUUGAAGAAUAAAGCGCCCAUUUCUUAUACUUUAUAUCACAUAAAGAAGUUUUUGUUGUACAAUGUAAAAAAUGGACCUUUUUUCACAAGACAAAAAUAGGAUUCCCUAGAGAACAACUCAGGGGAAUGUGGUUAAUAAUUGCAUGCUAGCUAGUUUUAGUAAAUAAUAACACAAGGCGAAGUGUGAAUUCCAAAAACGAGAUAUAGCAUGCCAAAUUCUUUAAGAGUGGGUUAGUUAGCCAGCACACCGGUUGACAAUUGGAGUUGUUACACGUGGACAUCUGGUGAGCUCACAUUGUUUACAUGACAAAAAUUUUCUAUCUAUAUCGUGCAUCUAUAAAAAAAGGUUGAGAUAAAUUUUGUAGGACAUAAAUUCAAUAAUGAUGUGUGCACGUAUAGACAUUCUAUGAGCCCCCAUGCAUGACAACAAGAUAUGAUUACCUCUCAUUAGCAAUAAGAUAUGUCGAACUAAAAAGUACCAUACUUCUGUUAUUCCAGUUUGCGUGCCCAUUCGGUUUUGUGGAUUUCCAUAGACAUAUGAUGGAAAUAUCCCCAUUCGUCUAUGCCAUGUAUUCUGUACAUUCUUUUGAAAAAAUGACUUUUUUUCUUUUGCCCUAAUUUGUAGGGGGCGGGGCAUCAAAUAUUUGGAUGUCGAUGUCCGAUUUUUUUUCCUUUUGCCCUAUUUUGUAGGGGGCGGGGCAUCAAAUAUUUAGAUUUCGAUGUCCGGAAUAAUUUUAUGUGUGGAAGGACUCGAAGAAUACCAUCGCUGUUAUUACACACGGUCAUGUUAGUUACCCGCGUGCAAUAGUCUAAUAGGAUAAUUAAUCCAAAAAUGGCGAUUCACUAAAAGGAUCACAUAUUUUGCAAACGAUAAUCCCAUUAGUAGUCAAUGCGACCGCAGUGAGUUGCAUCCAGAGAAGGUGAAAUGUAAGUAGUGAUUGAUUACCAGUAUAAGAGGUCGGCAUUGUACUAUAAAACAUUAGUUGACUAGUAGGACAUUAAGGGUGGACAUGCAAGGGUUGACACUCAUGACCUUAAAAAAUACAUCUCUCGUUAUCAUCAAUAGAAAAAGGUGAAAACUUAUGACCUUAAAAAUACAUCUCUCGUUAUCAUCAAUAGAAAAAGGUGAAAAAUAUAUGAUUCAUGAGUCCCAACAGUAAAAACUCAUGACUGAAUGCAUGAGCCAUUAACUUCAUGAAACACAACCAUCAGUUAGUUUGUCUUUAACAAACGUGUGAGAAAGAAAAUACAUGCAUAUGCAAUGUAAAAUAAAAAGUACGCACGAAAAGAUUUUCAUGAUUCUUUAGUGGUACACUCAGGAUGAGUUUAUUUGUUAAAGUUUGGAAAAGAUAAACAUCCAACAUAUCCAUUAAGUCUGUCUCUCGGGAUUUGAAUCUACCUAGCCGAGAGAAAUCAAAUUUGUUUCUUUGAAGAAUCAUGUGCCCAAUUAUUAUACUUUAUAUCAUAUAUAGAAGUAUUUGUUUUAGCUGUAAACACAAAGUGAAAGUCAGAUGGAUCUUUUUCACAAGACAAAAAAAAUAUUCUCUUGAGAACAACUAUAGGGGAUGUGGUUACUUAUUCAUAAGUCGUGCUUAUUAGCACGAGAUAUUACAAGUGACAUAGAUUUUCACACAAAUGACAUACUUGUAGAAUCCCUUACUUGGGAGGGAUUCAAGACAUGGCAUAUCAUGGCAUGGCAGGCAUAUAUAAUAAUUCUGCCAGCUAACAAAGGUGUCCCUGAUUUAUUUCAACAACACACAAUAAUAGUAGUAGCACGUAGGCCUCACGGGCUAGUCCUUAUAGCGGAAGUAACUCGAUGGAUUAUGAUGGAUCAUGGAAGAACAUAGAUACCAAUGGCAUCAAUGAGANNNNNN
rnacentral:lncRNA from 1 species